rnacentral:lncRNA from 1 species
ACCCUGGCAUAAGUCGCAAAGGAUUUUAUUAUUGGUAGCAGAGAUCUUAAGUUCGAAUCCUAAUUGGUGCACAUUUCUAGCUAAGUUUAUUUCUAAAUAAAAUAAACGAAACAAGUAGCAUGCUACCUAUCUCUCUCUCUCUCUAAAAAAAAAAAAAAAAGUGGAGAAAAGUGAAGUUGUUUGCGACUGUAAAAUAUUAUUUUCGCUGUUUGAUUUGCAUUAAUAAAACACAGUCGAAACUUGAGUUAUCUCAAAUAGCGUAAUUUGUCUUCGAUCCACUUUGGAUCGAAGUCAAUUAUGGUAAAACGAGGUGAAGAAAAAAAAUUAAUAAAAUAAUACUGUGGAUAAUGCUAGCUAUAUUUAAAUAUAUUUGAUUGUGGUACUGAUUACUUUUUUGUUUAGUUUAUAUAUUUAAAAUGUGAUGAAAAUUGAUUAAUUGAGUAUUAAUAUUUCUUUUACUCUAUGAUUUUAUUGUUGUAAUAUUAUAAUUUAUGUAUAAAAAAUUAAUUUAGUUAUUUUAGGUUAUAUUUUUAAUUAAUAGGGAUACAAUUAAUUUAUUUUUUUAUAUUAUAAUUUAUUAUUUAUCAAGUUAUAUAUAUAUAUAUAUAUAUAUAGAGAGAGAGAGAGAGAGAGAGAGAGAGAGAGUCUGGCUACUAUACUCUUAUGAGUACGAUCGCCCUCGUACUAAUAAGUUGUUUUCGAUGAUAGAACUUUCGAAACGACGAUCCACACCGUUAAACGUUAUCUAGAGCAUUUAAAACUACUAGAAAUUAAAUUUUAUAAUUUUUCGACAUUAUUUACCUUACGAUCAAAAGCUCACAAAAUUGACAAUUUUUAACGAUCGGUAUGGGAUACUUGCUAGUUUAACGGUGGAAAAGAAUCGGAAUAGGUUGAAUUUUUGAUAGAAAAUUCUAUUAACUACCUAGAUAAAGAUCAAUAACUCCGAUCUUAAAUUAAAGGAUCCGAUCAUCCAUUUUUAGGACGUCGUUCGAUUUUGACCAUUCAUUUUAUGCCCGCUUGAUGGACUUUAUUAUGAUUUCAAAAAAUUACGAAAUUUAUUUUUAGAAGUUUCAAAUACUCUAGAUCAUAUUUAACGGAGUGGAUCGUCGAUUCGGAAGCUCCAUCACCGAAAAUAACUUAUGAGUACUAAGGGCCCACUACUCAUAAUAGUAUAGUAGCCCUUUUCUCUCUCUCUCUCUCUCUCUCUCUCUCUCUCUCUAUAUAUAUAUAUCUAAAUAAAGAGCUAGCAGAGAAGGAGAUUUUUUUCACAUAAAUUAUAUUUUAAUGCAAAAUCCACUUCAAUCAAAAUUAAGUUCACUUUCAGUGAAACAAACAGGCCCUAAAAAGCUUUGAAAGGUACGUUGGUGGUCUAGAAUCGAUUUUCCGACUGCUAACAUCUAUUUUUGAUCACCGACUGUCCCUAGCGCGAGUAGCAAAGGGCAUGGUGGUUGGUACCUGAGGUCCCGCGUUCAAAUCCUAGUUGAUUCACAUUUUCAGCUAAGUUUAUUUUUAAAUGAAAUAAACGAAACGAAUAGUAUGCUACCUAUCUCUCAAAAAAAAAAAAAUUUGUUUUUGAUCUCAUUAAAGUUUUAUAUUAAGAAUCACCUAAUGCUAUCGGAUAAAAAAGAAGCUGAGAUAAAAAUUAGUAUAAUAUUACCGACUGUCCCUAGAGCAAGUGGCAAAGAGUUUGGUAGUUAAUAUCCGAAAUCCAAGUUCGAAUCCUAGUUGAUUCACAUUUCUAGCUAAAUUUAUUUCUAAAUGAAAUAAACGAAACGGGUAGGAUGCUACCUAUCUCUCAAAAAAAAAAAAGUAUAGUAUUACUUACAAAAUAAAAUGGAGUAUUUUUUUAGUAUUAUUAUACUUUGGCACCACACCCAAUUCAAUCUAACCGCCUAAUGCUAUUUGAUGAAAAAAAAAAGCUGAGGCGAAAAUAUACAAAUUAAGAUAUAUUUCUCUAUAUUUUGGUUGGAUUGUAUACAAUAUAUGUUAACCAACACAUUAAUAUAUGAACACCAUACUAUUUUAUUACUUCUUAUGAAAUCAAAUAAAACAUAUUUUUAUCAUAUAUACNCCAUACCGGCCGUUAAAAAUUGUCAAAUUUGUGAACUCUUGAUCGUAAGGUAAAUGAUGUCAAAAAAUUAUAAAAUUUGAUUUCUAGAAGUUUUAAAUGCUGUAAAUAAUAUUUAACGGUGCGGAUCGUCGAUUUAGAAGCUCUAUCAUCGAAAACAACUUAUGAGUAGUAGGGCGAUCGUACUCAUAAUAGUAUAGUAGCCGGACCCUAUAUAUAUAUAUAUAUAUAUAUAUAUAUAUAUUAUAGCGCGAGUAGCAAAGGGCAUGGUGGUUGGUACCUGAGGUCCCGCGUUCAAAUAUUUUCAGCUAAGUUUAUUUUUAAAUGAAAUAAACGAAACGAAUAGUAUGCUACCUAUCUCUCAAAAAAAAAAAUAUGUUUUUGAUCUCAUUAAAGUUUUAUAUUAAGAAUCACCUAAUGCUAUCAGAUAAAAAAGAAGCUGAGAUAAAAAUUAGUAUAAUAUUACCGACUGUCCCUAGAGCAAGUGGCAAAGAGCUUGGUAGUUAAUACCCGAGACCCAAGUUCGAAUCCUAGUUGAUUCACAUUUCUAGCUAAAUUUAUUUCUAAAUGAAAUAAACGAAGCGGGUAGGAUGCUACCUAUCGCUCAAAAAAAAAAAAAAAGUAUAGUAUUACUUACAAAAUAAAAUGGAGUAUUUUUUUAGUAUUAUUAUACUUUGGCACCACACCCAAUUCAAUCUAACCGCCUAAUGCUAUUUGAUGAAAAAAAAGCUGAGGCGAAAAUAUACAAAUUAAGAUAUAUUUCUCUAUAUUUUGGUUGGAUUGUAUACAAUAUAUGUUAACCAACACAUUAAUAUAUGAACACCAUACUAUUUUAUUACUUCUUAUGAAAUCAAAUAAAACAUAUUUUUAUCAUAUAUACUUCUAAUUAUUACAUCCACAAAUGAUAGAUACCAUAGAUACUUUUUACUUAUCUAUAUAUAUAUAUAUAUAGUCUAUUAAAUUUAUUAAACUUCGACGAAGUUAAUAAAUAAUGAUACGAUUUAAGAAAUUUGAUACCUUAACAUCUUCAUUUGCUACAUUAUUAAUAAGGACAUACAAAUCAACCAAAAAUAAAUAAAUAAAUAAAUCAAGUACCUAACUUUAACGUAUCUUCUACUAUCAAAAAAAAUCCUUCUAAUUUUGUUUUAUUUAAUUCAGUGUAGGGUACUAUAUAUUUAUUAUUAUUAUUAUUAUUUUAUAUUUUAUUAAAAUUCAAGUGACGUUUCAUGGGCUAAUGCUGUAGGUGAAAAAUCUGAAACGUCAAAUCGAGUUCUUUUGUUUCUUUCUUGCUUUCUUUUUCAUUUUUUUAAGGAUGCGGACCCACGAACUUAUCAUGGCAUGCAUUGGAGAUAUCAUUGAUAUGACCAAUUGAUAUGACCAAUGCCUGGGGUGUUACAUCUGUCGAUAGAGAUGCAAACAGGUCGGAUUUAGAUUUUGAGUGUAGAGGACUCCUCCUACUGCGUACCUUUCAUUUUAUCUUUUUAGCAUAUCGGAACGGAUUCGAAAUAUGGCCAAAACGGAUUUUUUAUAGACUUUUGACGGAUUGGUUGCAGAAUAAAGAAGGAAAUGGCUCCUCAAUCACGUCCUGCUCUAUUUUCUUCGCGAAUCGAGACGGAUUAUUCUUUUUCUUACUUUUGCCCUAUAUUUACCGUUUCACUUUGGAACUAAUUCAGCAGAAGCUCAAUCACUCUGGAUCCAUUUGCAUCCCUACUCGUCGUAUCCUUUUUUUCUUUCAACUAAAAACUUGAAAGAGUUUUUUGCGCCCUAGAAUACGUAGGAUGCGAGACAAAGUUAGGGUUCCAUUUUGGAAGAGAGGGAAGGGGCAAAAAUAUGUAAUAUAUUUUAUUUUAAAAAAAUAUUAUAAUGUACAUUAUUAUAAAAGUUCAAUGUGUAAAAAUAUAAAAGAAAAUUCAAAAAAGUUUACGUACUGGCUCAAAAGUUAAAAUUGUGCUCGGCUUUUCUUCAAGUCGUAAAAUCAGCUGGCCUCCUCGGCGCAACUUUUUACAAAGAAAAAAAAAAAUACAUUUUAGCCUGUAGAAGUUAUUAUAUUUAAUUUUUUACUACAGCUUAAUUAGGAAUUUUUAUAUAAUAAUUUUUAAAAAGUUAAGGACCACAAUAGGCCAAGGCUAUUGUGAGCCUCUUGAUACCUCACUACUAGUAGCAUUUUUUUUUCCAUUUAAACUGGUGUAACUUUUCAACUACUUUGAUAAUUGUUUUUUUAAUCUUUACUUAAUUAUAUAGAUUACUCAUUGAGCAAAUUUUUUAAUCUUUUUUUCUCCUAUUUUAUGAAAAGCUAGUAUUUUUCUUUUCUGAAUAUUUUAUCAAAAAAAAAAAAAACAAAAUCCAUGAAAAGUAAUGUUAUCUAUGGAAUUUUUUUUUUUCGAAAAAUAGUAUUCUACACUUUUCUGAGGAACUAAACACCCCCUAAAUCCAAAAUCUAAAUAUUAUGAUUAACGAUACCUAGUUGACUGUAUGUAGUACAGUUGGCUAAGGGUUUGAUGUUUAGUACUUAAGUUCCUAACUUCGUAUUUCUAACUAAAUUUAUUUCUAAGAAACGAAAAAAAGCGGAUAAUAUGCUUUUUUUUCUCUCUCACAAAAAAAAAUUAAGGAUAUCUACUAACUGAUUUAUCGGAUAGUUAGAUGAAUUAAAGCCCAUAGAGUUAGACUUGGGCCCAGGUAAAAUGUAGGCCUUAUUUAUUAUAAAUGGGCCGAAUGGGGCCCGGCCCAUAUUCUGCUUUUCUCCUCUGUGCGAAUGUCCGCACAAUGAGAACCCAACGAGGGCGCACGCAACGUGUUCGAGAGAUUGCCUCAGAGAGAGAGAGAGAGAGAACCCCAGCAACCAUGUCGUGGGAUCAUCGUCGCAAGCUCCUCCUCCUCCUCUCCCUCCCCCUCUCCUCCUCCUCCUCCUCCUCCUCCGCCGCCGCCGCCGCGCGCCGCCACCACCGCCACCUCCUUCGCCCAAUCCCACCAUCUUGGGUUUCCCCGCCCCAUUCCUCUCCCUUCCUCCACGAGUCUAGGGUUUCGGGGAGGUUCUCCUUCUCCUCUUCCGCGGCGGAUUCCGUUGGAGCAGGAGGAGGAAGGAGGUUGUCGAAGUGUUGGAAUUGUGGGACCGCAUCGGGCUCUCCCGCCCCCUUCCUUGCGUGCGGAACCUGCGGAAGCGUGCAACCCGUGGACGCGUCCGUGGAUUAUUUCCAGAUAUUCGGACUGUGAGUUUCUUGUUGGAGAACAGGUUUUAGGGUUCUUGAUUGAUUUGAUUAGUCAAUUUUUAUUGCAAUUUGUAGUACGAAUAAUCUGUUUCUCUAAUUACAAUUACUGGAAGGGAAAGAAAAUUUUCAAUUUUGAUGGAUAUUAAGACUAUUUUGCUAUUAAUUUUGUAUUAAUCUUGAUGGAAAUAUAAAAGGCAAAUAUGUUUUGUCUAAUCUUGUCGCGGGAAAAUGGAUUUUAUAUAAAGUUUUGAUCAUGAUGCUACAGUUUGUGGUCUUUUUUUUGGGUUUUGAAGGUGAGUUCAUUUCAUGUCCAUAAUUUACGGUAUAAUAAUACAUUUUCUCACUUCAUUUUUUAGUAGCGGUCUAAGAAAUUCUGUAAUAUGAUAGAAACUGCAAAAAGAGUUUACGACAAUAAGAUGCAUAUGUAGCUAAUUUAUUUAAAUUGGUUGUGGGUUGUUCUUAUAAUUUCUAUUAGAUUGCUAUCCCAAUUGCAUCUGCGAAAAAGCAUUAAGACAAGUGUAUGUUAUGGAGCAUAAAUUAAGGAACCUUUGAUUCUUUGAAUUGCUGAUUUCUUGUUUUUGUGUGUUUCAUGGCGUAUCAGACGACGACCAUUGCACCAGUUAGUGAUUGCUUUCAUAUCUAUUUGUGUAUGUUGUAAAUUAGUGAUUGCUCAUCUGAAAUUUCUUGAUACUUUGCACAUUGUAAUGUUAUGGUUGUAUUCCAUUGUGUUUCACAGGAAAAGGGCAUAUGAAGUAAAGGGCGAUAACUUAGAAGGCAAAUACAAGGAUUGGCAGAAGAAGCUACAUCCUGAUUUAGUUCAUACUAAAUCUGAGGUUGUGGCAUUAAUCAACUUCAGAAACAAAUUGACCAUUUUUCUGCUAAAUUAACAUCAGUUUUGAGCUAACCUUUUAUGUUGUCCGCUUAUCUUGCACAUAGGAUGAAAAAGCUUUUGCUGCUGAGCAGUCGGCCCGAGUAAUUGAUGCAUAUCGAACUCUCAUCAAUCCUUUGUCAAGGGCAUUAUACUUGGUGAGUUUGCCACUGCCUCUUUUUGGGAAUCUUGCCUUUAGGAUUUGGCAAUUUUAGUGCCCCCUUUUUUUUUCCGUCCGCUACUUUGGGACAAAUUUUAUGAGAUUCCCUGGUCUAUCUGUGUGUCAAAUAGAUAUCGAGAUCUCAGCCGCCGAAAGAUGUUAUUGAUCAAAGCUGCAAACAUAAACUUAGUUGACCAAAUUGUAAAAUAGAAAAAGAAAGAUGGAUUGCUUAUGUGUGGUGGCCUUAUAAUUUUCAUAAUAACCUCCGACUCAUGAAUGUCAAAAAAGUAUGUUAAAACUUCAGAAAGUUUACCAUUAGCUACUGGGUUAUACGUUGGACCUCAAUGAAUGCGAGUGAGAAAUUAAGAUGUUUCUUUCAAUGGGUAAGCCUAAUUCAAUCAAAUAUUAUGCCAUGAUCCGACACUCCUUAAUCAAAUUAGUUGAUGGUCAUCUUAACAGAUCGGCUAAACUACCUGUUUGUCCUUCGUCUGGUGCCUUUGGAAGUUGCAAGGUCUUGUACUGAUUCUGGAAAAUAUCUUUUCAUAGUUGAAUUUAUGAGAAAAGACUAUAGUUUGAUCAAUAUAUAUAUGAUGGUCAGAUAAUAGAAGGGUUUUCCCCCCCACUUCUAAAGCUAUUGCAUGCAUUUGUUCUCUACAGUUACGACUUGAGGGUGUACAAGUUGAUGAAGAGAAAACAAUCUCAGAUCCUGAACUUCUUGUUGAGGUAAAUUUAUUGUAGAUGCGUUUUCCUGUCCACCUAUUUCUUGGCAGCAAAUGUUUACUUUGGAUCGUCGAUAUAGUUUUGUUUUUAAUUUGCUAUAAAUACGUAGGAAAAUGAAUUUUAAGCCUUUCUUGUGCAGAAGACAACUUACUCUUAGCCAUUUGACUUGCCAGACUCCUUUAGAGAAGUGUUGUUUGAACAAUACUGACCUUAUUGGAUGCCCAAAUAAGUUAUUCGAUGAUAACUUUAUCGGUAUAAAAACUUUUUUGUGUGAUUGGAAGGUAGGAGUUUGAUUUUUGGUCCUUAAAAGGUCUGGGCAUUAAUAAUUUCGUAGGAUAGCAUAUUUAAUCUACAAGGUUAUUUAACUUAUUCUAAAAAAUAACUUGAAGGCGAAAUAUACUAUUCCAUUUCAGACACUUGAUCUCUCCUACCUUUCAAUUACAAUAUAAAAUCCAAAUACUGAAUUGGAUAUUACUAGGUAACUUAUUCCGGCUUCCAAAUAAGGCCUUAAUCAAUUCUCAAUCUUCUUAGCACCUAAUAUAUUUUAGUAAAAUCCCCGCAACAGCUUCGAACAUGUCCCUAAAAGCAAAAGUUUAAAAUUAGAUCUUCUGUUUGGGGCAUGCAAGCUCCUUUCUGUUUCCCGCCAAAGUUAGAAGCUGUAGGCCUUUUGUUUGCACAACACCUUAGUAUUUCUCGAGUAGAAAAAUUGCCUUUGGUAUUUCUCGAGGAGAAAAGUUGCCCUUAAAAGACGAUAGAUUAGCACUUAUUAUUCUCACUAAUUUAAUUCAAAUGUUCUUUGCAGAUGAUGGAGAUUCGCGAAGCCGUUGAUGAGGCCGAUGACUCUCAAGCCCUAGAGCGGAUAAAAUCUCAGGUUCUGCAAGAAACUACUUAAUCACUUAAAAAGUAUAUGAUUAUUCUUGAUUUUUCUCCUCAUUCCCCCUCAUUUUAACUAAUUUAGGUCCAAGGAAAGCUUGAAACCUGGUCAAAUUCGUUCAAGCAAGCAUUCGAAAAGCAGGACUUAGACACUGCAGUAGCCUCCACGCAGCGAAUGCGAUAUUACGAGCGUGCGAUGGAAGAGAUCGUCAAGAAACUUUAAUUGCGUUACUCACUAAAGCACUGAAACCCGACUGCGCAACUGAGUUCACAGAGCUCGAAAUCGCUCCCCUGUUGUUGAGUUGUUGGCGUUACAGCUGCCGGCUUUUCUGGUUAUCCCGGCAAUGAGAGCUAAAGAAUAUUCUUUGUAAUUUCAUUCAUAAGUUGGAGCAUAUCUUAUGAAUGAAUUCCAUCUUUGUAAUGUAUACGCGAUGCGCUUACAUAACAAAGCACAUGUUAAAGAGCAAGUUGUGAUCUUAUAUUCGUUUCUUUGAUAUAUUAGAGCGUUUGUAAUAAGUAUACAAGAUUUUGUUGAUCCCAGCUAACUAGGUUCUCAAGCAUGAGCAAUGUCAAUGUUGUAGUUCUAGGCAUAAUUAAACUUUACUGAACUCUUUGUGGUGUUUUCAAUGUCUAUAGUUAUACAUAUGCACUUACAUUGAAUUUCAAUUUUGUUCAGUUAUUCGUGCUGUGUGGUAACGAAUGAUAGAUGAAGUUAGGUAUGGUUUAAAAUUAAGUUUAAUUUCUAUUUUAGCGUUGAAAUUUGGAAAAACUUCAACGGUCAAUUACCACUUGUUAAAAUACAAUAUAUCUCUUAAAAAGAACGUUAUAAUUUCGACAGUCCCAACACAAAACCACAAAAUUAGAAAUUCUGUAUGCAUGGACCCCCCCUUUUUUGGUUAGACAAUGUGUGGUUGGGAAACAAGGAUCGGUUUUUUAGCAAGGUACGGAAUGUAUUCAAAUAGGUAUUUCCUAAAUCAAACGAAUUUUAUUCCUUCAACCAUUCCAUUUCGACAAAAGACCAUACCCAAGUUCAAUAGCUUUGCGUCCGCUAUCCCGACACAAAACCACAAAAUGGAGAAAAAAGAGAGCUCAAACUCAUUUAUGAAACGAUAAAAUGAUAAACUUAUUAUAAAAGAGAUCUAAGUAUGAAAUUUGAAGUUCAAACUCUAAGAAGAAUAAAAUCUUGCAAAACUAGUACUCAUUAAGGCAAUCUUCCAAUACUAGGAACGAGUGCACCACAACAUAAACAAAACAAUAAUUCGAAAACAAUAAUUAGCACAUAAGAAACAACAAAAGCCCACCAAGUUUCACGCGAUGCAGUAGAUAAAUAUGUCAUAUUGUUUAACUACUUAACCUAUGUUCUCAAAAGAGAAAUUUAUAGAUAUAAUUUAGAAAAAACUUCAAAAAUCCCCCCUAUGCUAUGGCGUAGCUGCACUUUACUAUUCCGUGAAUCAAAGUGCGGCGCACUUUGCUAUCUUGUGAUUUUUGGUUUUUACUUUCCGUAGCAACAACAAUACGCGGUUAAAUAGGAUAGCACAUAGUAGUUAGAGAGUAGAUUACAACCACAAUGUCAUUUGCAAUAUAUAAGACUUUGCAAUCUGAUUAGCAGCAGGUCUUUAUUGAAAACAAAAAUAAAAACCGCGAGACAACAAAGUUUUAUACUUCGAACCAUAGUAAACUGCUAAAGCACCAUACUACAGGGGGGUUAUUUGAAGUUAUCCCUGUAUCUUAUACGCCGAGUUCUGCAGAUAGAUUUUUACAAAGCUUGAAAGAAGCAAGUAAAGAUAUAGAAGAGAAGUUCUAUUCACUUCUUUUCCGUAGGUAGGCCGACGAAGAAUUUGCGGAUCAACCUCUCAUAAUCCUGAAUUGAAAGCAGACCUCUUUAGACCCGACCUGAAAAAGUGCAAGGAAAUCAGUCUUUUCUUUUCCCUCAUUCUGAUGAAACCAAUUCACAAAAGUAAACAAAUAUUCUCCACAUCAUUUAGCCCGUUGAUACAAUUACAAGGACGGAAGGAGCAGAAAAACGCAAAGCCAGAAGAGCAUUCAGUCAGACGCAGAUCCAGAAGUUCUAUCGACAGGCAUAAUAUGUACUGAAGAAAUGUCCACAUCUUGAGCAAGGAAAAUGUGAAAUUUUGAAGGAAAUGCAAUACAAAAAACACUAUUUUCACUUAAUGCAAACAAUUUACCAAUUCCGUCUAUGUUUCUCCAGCAUGAAAUCUCCCUCGUUGAAAAUUGGAAAGAAAACUAAAACAAGAUAACAAAUACAAAUGUCUGUCGCAGAAUGAGCAGUUCGCGGAAAGGAGAGGGAACAGAAUAGUAAAUGAGAGCAAACAAGUGAUAUAUCCAGUUAGUGUUCUAUGAUAAUAUGGGAAAACUGUAACUCUGGUAUCAAAUCAGCUAGAAUCAAAUUCUAAGCGGGCCAAACCGCUGAAUUUGGUCUAAGGGCUUAAUUGUGAAACUAAUAAUUUUUUAGUUCAAAUUUCAUAUUUGACGAUCAAGAUGCCGUUUACCUGCAACAUAUAUCGUAGUUCUGAUAUUUGAAAGUGGAUGAACCUUAAGAAUCAGUACCAAGCACUUGCGGAGCCCGUUACCUUAUGAAGAAUAGUUUAUUUUGGACCAGAAGCCGAUGAAGUAGAGUCACUUAGAAGAGCAGUUGUGGGACCUGACGACAGUGUGAUCCUCUCUCUAGUUGUCUCUGUAGCCAAAGGAUCUUGAAUGUUUGACAGACCAGAAUUCAUUGAAGGCCCAGUACCAUCCCUAGUUUCGAGACGCUCCAUCAUACGCGACACGGUAGCGAUUCCCGCAUUAAUCUCUCUCUUGACUUCAGAACCCAGAUCCGAUAUAGCACUGUUUCGGGAGAACAGCUUCUCUUUCCACCCUCUCGUACUUUUUGUUAUCGAUUCUUUAUAUCUAUUUUGCCAUUACAGAAGAAACUCACAGUUAAAUACGUGUUUUGACUCUAAUGCACCUUCAAUUUAUCUGAAUUUUCUUUCAUGCCUUUUAAAAACUAAAUUCUCUAUAUAUAUACUCUUGUAUGUAAAAGCUUCACCCCAUGGAUUGGAUGAAUUCCCCUAUUUAAGCAGGGAAUAUUUGCAAGAAGCUACAAUUUCGAGAGGCAAAUGAAAAUUCACAUUUCACAAAGAUGAAUAUGUAAUUAGAAUUGUAGAGGCAUAUUAAAAUUCACAUUUCACAAAGAUGAAUACGUAAUUAGAUGGACUAGCAGGGGCAUAUAAGGAAAGGAACCCUUGUUUUGGCAAAAGUUCAGACAUUUAAAACCAUAAAACUUAAAGGUACCUCAUUGAGACUGCAUUAAGGCGAGACUUGAAAGAGUCUGAGAAGGACUGGAAAUCAGAUGGUCCAGCUCUAUCUUGGCUUCCAGGCGUAGGUUGACCAGAUGAGUUCCUGAUUUCAAGAAGGGCAUUAAUAUGAUAGAACAUAAAGACGUACAGGGUAAAGUGGCGUAGAGAUGCACUUAAUUCUAGGCCAAUCUGAACCCUCCCAUCCUCCUUUCCUCUUCUUUCUUUCCUUUUUUAUUUUGGUUGAUUUACAACCACCCAACUUUUGUUUGUUUCAUUUGACUUGCUUCCAUCGAUCAAAACAAGCGCUUAAUUAUAAACAACGGCUCUAUUCAGUUCCAACCAUUAACAGUUUAAAAGAAGACAUUCCAGUAAAACGAAAAGCGAGUAGAGCAAUUUUAUUCGUCAUAAUUUCUGUUAAAAUUUAAUGAAAUCUCCAAUCUAACGGACAGAAAUUGCUCAAAUUAAAACAAACAAUACUUAAGGAGGUUUAAUUUAAAAAAUUUAAGGGGUUUGGGGUUUCCAUUCCAAGAUGGCCUAUGUAUGUUGAGAGGGAAAAACUAUAAUCAGACCAUGACAAUUACCGGUUAUUAGAUAGACCAGGACUAUUAGCAAAGUUUGUGCCAGAAGCGAUAGGAGCUGAAGGAUUAAGAGAAUUUAUAGCUGGGACUGACUCAUCUUCCCCUCUAUUAGCAGAUAACGGAGACGAAGAUACGGCAGGAGGAGCACUCUGACGCCUUGAGUACACCAUAUGUUGAGUACGGCCAUGAUCUGCCGGUCUACCACGAUUUCCUUCUCUUCUAUGAAUACGAUAGGUUCUACCCAUCGCGGCAGCAGCCGCCAAGUGCUGUAUAAUGCGCUCUUCCAGAUCUGCAUCUUCAGCUCCUACAGGAAGCUGGAAAAAAUAAAGGAACUGUUAAACUGUGAAGAGUCCAAUCAAAUACAUGUUUGACAGACGGACAAAAUUUCAAAAUAAGUAUCUGGGACCAGAACAGAAGUGCCGGUUGGGAGCCUCCCAUUCUGCUGCAAGGAGAAGCAGUUGGGGAGAUUUUAGCACAGAAAUUCUCCUAAUAGCGACAAAUGAGCAUCCCAAUAGUUUUCCACUGAAGAAGCAGAAGCUCCCUGAUUGUUAAACUUUUUGUCUUUAAUCUCCUUUCAACUUCCUACCACAGCAACAACUGCCAUUUUUUUCUUUGUUUUUUUUUUUUUGGGUGCAGUGCAAACAUCAGGCUGCCUUUUGGAAGUGGAGAAGCUGCUCCGGAAGGUAGGCUAAAGAGGAAUAGAAACUAUUUGACAAGGAGAAGCCAUUAAUAUAUGAACAAAUAUGGCUGCAUGGUUAGAACUAUACGUGCUGCACUUCAAAAUCGCCAAGCAUUGGUUGCGGAAGACUGGUAGCACUGCGUGGUCGGUUAACCCGGGAGUUCCUCUCUUUUUCUACGGCCUCCAGUAGUUCUUGGCUAAACAACAAUGAAGCGAAGUAAGUUCUGAGAGAGAGAGAGAGAGAGAGAGAGAGAUUUAUGCUAGUAAACCUGGUAGGAUCCUUCAAGCUGAUGGGCUGCCAACACAUGGGGCAUUGGGAGCUCCUCUGGCACCUUGAGACAAAAAAUUAAUUAGAAUGCUUGAAAUCUAAAUGAUGAAAAAGCAUCCAAGUUACCUAAUGGAAAACAUCUUAGUAGUAUCGAAAAGCUAAUGAAAAAAAAAUGUAGGCGUGUAAUAUAUCAAAAUAAAGGAUAAACGCUACGAUUUGAAGUGUCACCUAUUCACUGCAAAACCGUUUAGCUGAUCAUCCAACAAAUAUGAAUAAAUGAAGCAAGUAUUCAACCAAAAUAACUCUCGUAUCAAAGUUCAAGUGUUUUCUCAAUGAAUUCUACCAAGAACAAAGAACAAAGAAUAAAAGACAUUCCCAACUCCUCGGAAAACAAACUAUAGCAUUAAUUGGAACCAUUUGGAGCAUAUACCAAUUGGUAGUUGUAGAAGACUACUACAAGAUUCAAGAAACCUCAGAAGGUACUCAGCAAGUUUGGAUUCUCUCUUAUGAAUCAUCCUAUUUUAACUGCUUGUAAAAUGACAAAAUACUCAAAAUAAAACCUAAAAAGCAGAGACUGAGGACAUUCAUAUGUAAGGAAACCAAGAUAACAUCAUGAUUUACAAGUAGAAAAAAGCACAAAAUCUAGUAGCCAAAGUCCUCAAAACUAACCACUGUAGAUGUGACAACUAUUUCGGUAACCAGAUCACGAAAGAUACAGCAAAUGAAGAACAAUGGGAAAAACAAGGAGCAUUAAACCUAUGAGAAGAGACGCAGCAUCUAAAAUCUAAAUUAAAGUAAUCGAAAUAAUAAAUCAAAAUACAGAACAUAAGGUAGAGAAUUACCAUUCAAGAAUGCAUUGCAGAUGAAACUCAUGCCUGCAACCAGUCACCUGAACAAUCAUCACAACGAGUCGACAACACAUGCUAAGAACAAUUUAACCAACCACUACAAACAAAUCGAAACUCUAAAAAUAUCAAUAUAAAUCACACUACUAUGAAUCAAAAGAGAACAUAUAUAUUUCCAUACCGUAGAGGGAUCGCUGUCGCAGAACGCUUCGAGGCAUAUGCUGCAUGAAUCAUCACAAGCAUCCUGAAUCCCCCCUUCAACGAACGCCGCAGCCGAUGUCGCGUGGCCGUCCAUCUACACCCAAAAAAUUGAUCUCAACAAAUUCUUAAUUCGACUAAACAAUUAAAGAAAACAAUCUAAAUUCGACGUCUCCGCAAAAACCUAACAACAUUCAUCAAUAAAUCGACAUCCUCCGAUCAAUUUCCAUCAAAAAGGAUACUUCUUUUCAGCGGAAUUGCAUAAAGAUUUCAUCUUUUUUAGUAAUUAAACACGAACCCGAAUAUUCCAAACGUGCCGACCAAUCCUCACAUGAAAACACACGGAAAUUCCCAAAUUUCAAGGAGCAAACAAGCGAAUCGCGAUGCAGAUAAGAAAGGAAGCGAUCGUGAUCAACAAAGGCAAAUCAAUCAAAGUAAAGAAUCGGAAAAAGAGCGGGUGAAAGAGGGAGGAAUCGGAGCGCGUACCACCGCGGAGACGAUGCGUUGGGCUAGGGUUUGUGGGAAUUGGGGGUCUCCGAGUCGAUUUAGAGGUCGAAAUCGUUGAGGCGAGAUGCGACAAGUAGGGUGAAGGGAAAGCGAAGAGAGAGAGAGAAAGAGAGAGAGAGAGAGUGGCGUUGCGAUGCGUUUAUCUCGCUCCUCUUUCUCUCUCUCUCUCUCUCUUCGUUUUCUCUCUCUACGUAUUAAUUAAUUUAAUAUAUUCGGCGUGUACGUACAUAUCAUAGCGGUUGGAUGGGUUACACGUGGCGUUAUUUUGUCGAUGAUUUUGGUCGAUGAUUACGUCAUCUAAUCCAAUGCGAAAGACCAUAGCUAAUUUAUUUCUUUAUUUAUCCCGUGUCGUGACUCAUUUAUGAAAAUAUAUAAAAUAUAUUGCCUGCACCCAGUGUAUCCGUACGCGGUAUACACCGCAUAAACUUUUAACCAUUUAAAUAAAUGUCUUAAAAUCCAAAAUCAAAUCCCACAAUUUUUUUUUUUAAAAAAAAUAGAAGGUAUAAAAUUUUAAUAUUAACGCAUUGAGCAGCCUCAAUUAUCUACAGUAGAUAAAAUUCUUUUAUUUAAUUUAUGAGAAAUUAGUUUCUGAAAUUUAUAUUAUUUUAUAUGUAAGGUUUUUUUUUUUGGUGUUCAAAUAUAUAUUUAUUGAGCAAGCUGUGUAUAGAUUUUGAAACCGCCUCGAGAAAAUCUUAAAAAUAAGUGCGGUGUAGAAGAUAUAGUUAUACACUCGGAGCAGAGAAUUUUUAAAAAUUAUGGGUAAAAGUGUACGCAUAGACCCUGCUUUAUUACAUUACCAGCAUUGCUACUCGUACGUUACUAGACUAGUAUUUUACAUUUUAAUAUUGUGAUCAUAAUAUUUAGAGCUUUCCUUGCAUUUGCAUUUGGUCCCUCAAAAAUUUAUUUUUAUAAAAAGCUCCAUCAAAUUUAUAAUUAUAAUUUUGGUCCUAUCCCUAUCACGCAGAUGCUACGUAAGCGCCAAACAAACAAGAGGAGGUGUUAAAAUAAGUUGAACACAGUAAUCCAUUUAUCGUGUCUAAACACAAUGAAUGAUUCACUGUGUUUGAAAAAAAAUAUAAAUAUUUGUAUUGCGAAAAAAUAUAAGUAUUGAAAAGAGAGAAUAGAGAAAAUAUAAGUACAAAACACAAUGAAUGAUUCACUGGGUCUAGAAAAAAUAUAUGUAUUGCGAAAAAAUAUUAGCAAAAAAAAAUAAGAAUAUAAGUAUGGAACACGGUGAACCAUUCAUCGUAUUUAACUUAAGGUGUUGAUAUGGCGCAUGCGUGGCGGGGCUAGAACCGAAUUUAUAAUUAUAAAUUUGAUGAGAUUAUUUAUAAAAAAAAAAUUAAGGAGACCUAAUGCAAAAAAGUGCUCUAAUAUUUAAAUUUUAUAGAGCAAUACUACAUGUGUAUUCUGAAGGCCAGUAAAUCUUACAACCUUUUUAUCUAAAAAUUAAUUUUCCUUUCUUAUCUUGCUAGUCUUUCUAAAAAUUAUAUAUUAAAAAAUUAGAAAAAUUUACAAAUCUUAAAAUGAGGAUUGUAUGACAUACAUGUAUUUAUUAAAAUAAACAAUCAGCUUAAAUUUUACUAGUGAAAUACCCGCGCGAUACUACAGAUUUAAAAAAAAAUUUAAUAAAUUUUAGUUUUUUAUAUUUUUAAAUAAUUUUAUAAGUCUAAUUAUUAAUUAAAUAAAAAUUAUAUAAAAAUAAUUUAAUAGUUAAUUUUAUUUAAAUAAAAUUUAUUAAAACGACAACUUAUUUUAUAAAGAUUUAUGCGAAAAAAGAUUUGNNNNNNNNNNNNNNNNNNNNNNNNNNNNNNNNNNNNNNNNNNNNNNNNNNNNNNNNNNNNNNNNNNNNNNNNNNNNNNNNNNNNNNNNNNNNNNNNNNNNNNNNNNNNNNNNNNNNNNNNNNNNNNNNNNNNNNNNNNNNNNNNNNNNNNNNNNNNNNNNNNNNNNNNNNNNNNNNNNNNNNNNNNNNNNNNNNNNNNNNNNNNNNNNNNNNNNNNNNNNNNNNNNNNNNNNNNNNNNNNNNNNNNNNNNNNNNNNNNNNNNNNNNNNNNNNNNNNNNNNNNNNNNNNNNNNNNNNNNNNNNNNNNNNNNNNNNNNNNNNNNNNNNNNNNNNNNNNNNNNNNNNNNNNNNNNNNNNNNNNNNNNNNNNNNNNNNNNNNNNNNNNNNNNNNNNNNNNNNNNNNNNNNNNNNNNNNNNNNNNNNNNNNNNNNNNNNNNNNNNNNNNNNNNNNNNNNNNNNNNNNNNNNNNNNNNNNNNNNNNNNNNNNNNNNNNNNNNNNNNNNNNNNNNNNNNNNNNNNNNNNNNNNNNNNNNNNNNNNNNNNNNNNNNNNNNNNNNNNNNNNNNNNNNNNNNNNNNNNNNNNNNNNNNNNNNNNNNNNNNNNNNNNNNNNNNNNNNNNNNNNNNNNNNNNNNNNNNNNNNNNNNNNNNNNNNNNNNNNNNNNNNNNNNNNNNNNNNNNNNNNNNNNNNNNNNNNNNNNNNNNNNNNNNNNNNNNNNNNNNNNNNNNNNNNNNNNNNNNNNNNNNNNNNNNNNNNNNNNNNNNNNNNNNNNNNNNNNNNNNNNNNNNNNNNNNNNNNNNNNNNNNNNNNNNNNNNNNNNNNNNNNNNNNNNNNNNNNNNNNNNNNNNNNNNNNNNNNNNNNNNNNNNNNNNNNNNNNNNNNNNNNNNNNNNNNNNNNNNNNNNNNNNNNNNNNNNNNNNNNNNNNNNNNNNNNNNNNNNNNNNNNNNNNNNNNNNNNNNNNNNNNNNNNNNNNNNNNNNNNNNNNNNNNNNNNNNNNNNNNNNNNNNNNNNNNNNNNNNNNNNNNNNNNNNNNNNNNNNNNNNNNNNNNNNNNNNNNNNNNNNNNNNNNNNNNNNNNNNNNNNNNNNNNNNNNNNNNNNNNNNNNNNNNNNNNNNNNNNNNNNNNNNNNNNNNNNNNNNNNNNNNNNNNNNNNNNNNNNNNNNNNNNNNNNNNNNNNNNNNNNNNNNNNNNNNNNNNNNNNNNNNNNNNNNNNNNNNNNNNNNNNNNNNNNNNNNNNNNNNNNNNNNNNNNNNNNNNNNNNNNNNNNNNNNNNNNNNNNNNNNNNNCCUUCCUUUAUGAGAAUGAUAAUGAUUUUUCUUAUCCCUUAUAUAAGCUAUUUUUCCAUUGCUUUAUGCUAUAAGUCAUUUUGAGUGUGUUAUUAAAUUUUUCAAAAUUUUAAUUUUAUUAUUUAGUAUUUUAAUUUAUUUGAUUUGAAUCAGUCAACGAUAUUUUAAUUUUAAAAUUUGAAUAUACCAUUUAUUUUUGUAAGUGUAGUUUAUAGAUUUCACACAGUUGUUGUAGCUAUAUAUUCAUUAAAUUAAACAAUUAGCUUAAAUUUCAAAGUCAAAAUACCGUUAAUUGAUUCAAAUCAAAUAAAUUAUAAAAUUAUGAUAAAUUAUCAUGCAAAAAAAAUUUAUUUAGAGGGCAAUAUUUGGCCCAAUAUUCAAUCAUCAUGCAAAAAAAAAAAAAAACUGAAAUAGAGAUUUUAUUUGAUACUGCACUCAACCAUCAUCCACAAGAAAGACCUGGCUCUAAAGGCAUUGUUUAUACCAGGAUUUAUUUAUAUAAUAAUUAAAAAUUAUAAAAAUUUAAUUUUUGCUUUCAAAAUCUUAUUUGAAUGUAUGAAUAUUUUAUUUAGUAUAUUUUUUAAAAUUAUUUAAAUAUUAGAAUAAGCUGAAUUUCAGUGAUAUUAUGUUCAAAAUAAAUUUUUUUUAUUAUAAUUAAAAAUUAAAAGUGCAAUCAAAUGUUUAAAGUAAAUAACAUAUUCAAAUUUUUUUUUUGAAUGAGAUAAAUCAUCUCAGAUACUAUCCUAAUAAAUUAUAAAUAUCAAGAUAUUUUAAACAGUAAAAAAAUCAAACUUCUAUAUUCUAAAUAAACAAGAAAAGUAUGGAAAAAAAUUUGAGAAACAAAUUUUUCAUGAAAAAUCCCUUACUUAAUUUUCCGCCUCUUUGAUUCCAAAAAANUUAUACAAAGGGAAGGCUCCUAAAGUCCAAACAGAAGCGCAAGUGAGGAGGAGAGAAGCAGCUUUGGCUUUUAAGCGAUGGAUUGGUUUGACAUGAAAGCAUAUUGACUAUCCUUUAAAUAUUGAAGAUUGGGAAAAAUACAAACUCGGGUUUUUGAUGGUAUGAAGAAUCAGGGUCUUCCCUGGAACUUGUGGUCUAAUGUAUGCAUCUGGGGGUGAAAGUGGUUCCCUGUAUAUUCCAGAUUUUUGUAUCUGAAUUUUAAGAAAUUCAGGUCUGGGUUUUGUAUAUUCUGAGACGAAAGAUUAUGUAUCCUUAAUUAUGAAUGUAUUAUCCAGAUAUAGUUGCGUUUUGAAAUUUGAAGUACUAACUGGGAUUUAGAUCCUUACAUCACGUGUAAACUAGAUAUCUUGAUGAGAAUACAAUAGCUUAGUAAGAGCUAUAUUUUUGUUUUUCUUUUUCUCUGUGCACGUUUUAUUUAUGAAUAUUAUGCUGUAUAACCUUUGAUAUGUAAUAUCUAUAACCCUAAUGAAAGUCCGUGUUAUUUUGUCCACAUGACAGUAUUAGCUUAAUUAACCUUUGUGGGCCCUAUCUGUCAUCCUAAGACACUUUACUAAUUAAUUCAUCCCCAAACAAAUAUCUUUUCCUACUCUGCUUCCCAUUUCCAUUUAAUUUUCCCUUCGCCCUUCGAUCCCUCUCCCACUACCCGCCUCUUCGAUCCCUUCCCCACUCCCCGCCGCUUCGGUCCCUCCCCUACUCCCGCCGCUUCGAUCGCUCCCCGCCUCUCGCCGCUUCGAUCUCUACCCCGCCUCCGCUUCGAUCCCUCCUCCGUCUUUCUGCUUGGGGUCGAGCCCCCAUCGGCGCAUGGCCGCGACGAAGUCCUUGGUCUUGGGGCCGCCGGCGAACUGGUCCUCGAAAUCCUCCACGACGAGGGCGUCGGCGGCGGCGCUGGCGAGGGCGGUGGAGAUUGCGAGGCGCUUCUCCUUACGGUUGAUCUUGACGAACCAGUCGUGGGGCUUGGGGCCGAAGACGACGCCACCGCCGGGCCGGAGCGGGGUGCGCUGGGAGCCGAGGCGAGCGCGCCCCGUCUUCUUUUGGGGCUAGGGCUUCCUGCCGCCGCCGCGCACCUCGACGCGGGUCAGGGUAGAGGCAGUGCGGCGCCGCCUGUUCUGGCGGUUGGUGACGAGGGCCCAGUGGACGACAGCGCGGGCGGUGUCGGGAGGCGCCGACCGCAGCUCGAGCGCUGCCUUGCCCACCUUCUCUCCCGAGAAGGAGAGCACCGGGAGGGUCGCGAGCUCCGAGCGGACGACGCGGAGCGCGGCUCCCUUGCAGGGGGUCAUAGGGGAUUUGCGCUGGGUGCGGAGCGGAGAGGCGAGGAGGAAGAGGGAGGUGGAGGAGCGCCACCGCAACGACGACGACGACGACGACGACAAGGAGAGAGAAGGAGAUGCCGCCGAGAUCGGCAUCGGAUAAGCGGAUCAGAAGCUCAUCAGGACGAGCCCUCGGAUCGAUUGGUUCGAUGUCGAGGCGCUCGAAGUCACGGGAGUGCAGAAGAAUGAGGACGAGGUACGAAUUGCUCCACGCCGUUAGCUUUGCUGAGAUCUACGGGCUCCUAAUUCCUCCGAUAUUUUUGUUUGCGAAUUAUUUGAUGAUUUUAUCCGAAUAUGGGAUUUGAAAGGUUAAAUUUGUGGGCGAUUUUGUUAAUUUUUACAGUAUAAGAGUAUAUAUCAUGAGCCCACUAUUUUUUUUUUCCAGCGUGGGCGAGCGCAGCGGGCGGGCGGCAGCAGCGGGCACGGGCGCUAUCCCUGCCUCCUUUCCCUGUCACCCCGCAGGGCGCGGAGGUCCUGCAGAUCCGCGGUGCGGGCGGGCCCGCCCACGCUGCCAUGUGCGUGCGACCCGCGCCCGGCGCCCGCUUGCGCCCCUCGCGCGCCGCCCCCUUCUAGAUCUGCAGCUCCUGCAGAUCUCUCUCUCCCCGAUCCCGUCUCUUAUGUCUCUCCGACCUCUUCCUGAUCUCGCUCGGAGAAGCUCGCAAGCCCCCGCGGCCUAAUAAGCGGAGUUCUGCAAAUAAGUAUUUGUUACUUCAAGUCAGGUAUUUAGAUCUGUGCUUUUAGAGAAAGAAGCAUAUAUGAUGCACAUUUUCCACUUAUUCUGUGUAUGCUGUGAUUUAAAUGAUAACCUCUCCCUAGCGCUCGCGCCCUGUUCGACGAAAUGCCAAAUGUGUGCUUUUAGAGAAAGAAGCAUAUAUGACGCACAUUUUUCAUUUAUUCUGUGUAUGUUGGGACUUAAAUGAUACCCUCUCCCUAGCGCUCGCACCCUGUUCGACGAAAUGCCAAGGUGAUAGCAGGACGCUUCAUGUGAGCAAUGCUAUAUUUGUAAUUUAUUUUGGAUUGUAGAUCUUACUGGUAGUUAUGUUAAUUUAAAUUUUUAAAAUCUGUUAGUCAGGGAUCACAAUUCUUGAAUCUUCCUACAACCUAGACAACGGCAGAAUCAGGUUAUAAUAAAAUCAAAACAAAGUCAUACAAAAUUAGAAUGCCAAAAAUCUACAUUAAAGUUUGCCAAGUUGCUUAAGGUAAAGUUUUAUCCUGCUCUAUUAAAAGAGAUGUUGGUGUUUCUUUUUUUUUAAUGCUUCAAUUCCUCCGUUAGAACCUCUUCUAUGAUGACUUUUCCUUUAAAUAUCAAACUUGGAUAAUUCAUAGUGUUAUAGUUUCUGUUUUUUUUACUUUUAUUUGGGUACUCCGGCUAAUGCUUCACCAAAACCGAAACAUGGAUAUGAUAAUAAUUAGUUUGAUGAGAGGAUACGAUAGUAUUUAAUCUUAUAUUUUGGUGACCCUAUGAGCAGUUCAGUCCCCUCUAAAGUGAAGUGGUUCUUAUACCCUACAAUUACAUCUUUUAAGCUUAAUUUGUAUUGAGCUAUGCUAAUAUUACAAUAUAAUGCUUUCUAACAGAUAUGUACUAAACUAUGUAGUUUUGUGUAACUAAUUAAUAUCAGUUAGACGAUUUUUUGUGCUUCCAUAAACAGUUCCUGUUUUAGACAGUGCGACAUGGCACCUUCUUGAUGAAAACGAACAACUUCUUAUCCAGAUCACAUCAAAUCUUGAAUUGUUCAAGGUGUGUAUUGAGAAAAUCACUCUCUACAGUCAAAAAGAUAAUGAAUAUCUUUCUCUCAGAUCUAUUUGUUGCUUUCCAUGAAAUUUUACACUGCUGUUACUGCAGAUACAGGAGAAUAUGGAUCCUUUUCUUCGCACAAGUAACAACAUCGCAACAAUUUUGAAUAGGUAUGUGCUACCAGUCAUAUCUUCCCAAUCUGUUAGUUGGCAAAAUAUUUGUGCCUGGAAAUGUGCGCGCAAGGGCGAGUAGUGAUUUGAUGAAUAUGGCAACUGUGUAAUGCAGAAUGAGUCAGACUCCUGGGAUUAUGUGUUGGAUGCCUCCUUUGCCCAUUUCACUUAAUGAGGAACAUCUAAAUUCACUUAUCCAAUUUAGCAGAAGGGUAAGACCUUCCCUCCUGUUUAAUUUGUACAAAUGAGAUAUUAUCUUAUCAUUGUCUGGUUUAAUCAGAUAUUUACAGUCGAACUAUUUUCUGAGCACGUAAUUUUUUAAAAAAUUUUAUGCUCCUUGGCUACCUGAACGCAAUUUCGUUGCUUAAACAAUCAAUCAAAUUACGUUUUGCUUUAGUAGGGAUUGUGCUUACUGUCGCUUACCAGUGAAUAACGUUCUCCUUCUAUGAAAAGGCUAUUAUUAUUAUUAUUGUUAUUGUUAUUCUUAUAUAUUUGAUACAAGUAUUUUUUAUAAUUUUUGCUUACUAAUGUUGUCUGCAUCUAUCUACUUUCUAUUAUUUAACAUAUGUUUCUGUUCAUUACCUAUCUUUGCUUUCAAAGCUUUUUAUCAAUAGUAUUUUGCAAUCUUCUUUUCUUUCCUUUUUUAUGAGUUAGAAUUUUUUUCUCCGCCACUUGCUCAUAGUUUGAAUAAUAAUAGAUAGUACAAAGCUUGCUUACUAUUUUCUGAUGUUUUGAUACUUUUUAAGAUUUGCCUUUUUCGUAUUCUAAUUUCUUAAAAAUUAGUGCAUGUGUGUUACACUUGAGAUUUCUUACAUGCUCUUCCUGCCACUUCUUGCUCCCAGUUAUUUCUAUGGACAAUUUUGCCACGGCAAGCUCUGCUGCGAAGCUUGGCCUUUUUGCCCCAGCAAUGGGCAUCCUUCUCCUUCAAAUCGCUCAAUUCCAUCGAAUGACUCUCAAAUCCCCAAUUUUCACUAAAAUUAAACCUAAUUUGCGUCAAUAUUUUAGGUUUAAUUUUGUUUGAUAAUUUAGUGCUCAGUUUAGGAUGGUGAGGUCUCUUUCGUGUAAUUUUGUCUUCCUAUUUGACGCAACCCUCGCCACGUAUGACAGUCCACUUUAUAAAAUACAUCGUCAUUUGCAGCACACCUAGGCCAACUUUGCGGCAACGAUCUUUUAUUACAAAGUAUGAGACAUAAUGGUUCAAAUUACCUAAUCUUUGCUUUGGUCAACUGUUAAAGCUUCUACAAAUUCAAGUUUUUUGCAGGAAUCUCAUUGCGCUUGCUAUACUCUAUUUUUGCAAGCAUGGAAGCAUUAAUUUUUGCUCAGCUUAGUGUCAAAACAGCCUUAUUGGCUUUUGCUAUGUAUCCCAUAUAGAAAAAUAUAGCUUCUCAUAAAGUUUUUAUAGUCCUAAUUUAUUUUACCAUCUAAUAUAAUUUGCUGUUGUCUUCAAUUAUAUGGUUUGUUUCGGAUACUACAUAUCUUAACUUUCGAGACUUUAUCUGACUCUCUUUUGUGCAAUUAUUUUUUUUGUUUUAAUAUGAUUGUCAUAAAUAACAUUUUAUAUGAAUUUGCAUUAUGAAUAUUACUAACAUUUUUAAAGUAAAUGUGUUCUACUUUCUACAAAAUAACUUAUAGAAUAAAUUUUAAAUGAUUAUAAUAUAUCUACCCGCCGCAUCGCGCGGGUCACUACACUAGUAACAAUAAUAAAGUGUAUAAAUACUGAAAAAGACCCCACAGGCCACAGCACACCACCCAUAUAAUAAAGAGCUCAUUCUUUGGUCCAACACUUAAUCAUUAAUAAAUCCGCAUGGAAAUAAAUCUCAGAGGCUUAUCAAGUUUGUGCAAAGAAAUCAAACGUUAUUAACUUUUUUGUAUCCGAAAUGUGAACAGAACAUGAUGACUUUGAAUUUUACAAAAAUAUUACCGAAUAAAAAAGUUACACAUUAAAAGUCAUUUUUAGAGGCGUGUAUUUAUAACAACUUAAAAGUUCUGAAAAAUCACUUCAUUCCGCCUUUAUUUUCUCUUGAAACAUACACAAAUUCUUUAAUCUUUUUCCGUUCUCGGUUGCAUAGUUUUGCAAGGAAUAAGACUUUUUUAAGAAUGAACCUUGAGAUCAAUCAUAAUUUAAGCAACCCACUGUGUCUCUGCAUUGAACUGAACUAUUCCUCUUCCACUUAUUUCCGCUGUACUUUCCUUCAUCAGUGAGAAGGAUCUUAUCCCUUAUUGUUAUUUUCUUUUUCUUUGUUGUUGUUUUUUUUUUUAAUAUCUAUUCGUCGCCUCACACAGAUUAUUAUACUAGUAAUUCAUUAAAAAGUAGAGCUUAAUUACACGUUUACCAUUUCAAGAAAACAAAACCAGAACCAAAAAAAACGAAAAAAAUAUAUCUAUAAAAAUCGACCCUCUAAGUCCGAACAUCAACUUAAAAAACAUAAAUACCGACCGUCUCUAGAGCAAGUGGCAAAGGGCUUGGUGGUUGGUAUCCAAGACCCAAGUUCGAAUCCUAGUUGAUUCACAUUUCCAGCUAAGUUUAUUUUUAAAUGAAAUAAACGAAGCGGAUAGCGUGCUAUCUAUCUCUCAAAAAAAAAAAAACUUAAAAAACAUAAAUCAAGCUUCUAAACUUGAAGUCUACGUUGAAAAUAAAAAACAAAUUAUGACAAAACAAAAAUAAAAAAAAAACAAUUAUCCAAAUCUCGAUCUCGAAUUGGCUUAAGACCUUGGACAGCAAAUAUAAAAUAAAAAUUUAUAAAACUUAUCUUCAAUUUUUUACAAUUUAUUCAAUCCAUAAAUAGAGAAGUAGGUUUUUUUUUUUUCUUGAAACUUCAUAAAAUUAUUUGCAAGACAUGCCACCAAAAAAACUAUUUUAGUUAGUAACUUCAUUUGAGGUGAAUGUCUAAUUAAAUUAUUUGGUAAAUAUUAAAUAUAAAAAUAUUUAAACACCGUUUUUUAACAGCUUAAGCUUUUAUAGUAUAAUGGUUGUUUCACAUGGUAUCAGAGCAGGAAUUCCUAAGUUCGAGUCACGGUAGGCUCUUAGCAUAUUAAUUUCCUCCCAUUUAAUUCAAGCCCACGUCAUGGGCUUAGAGUACAACGAUUGUUUCACUGUAAAGUCUAAAAAAAGAUUUACUUUGCAAAAUUUAAAAGUUUAAGCGGUGUGUUCGUGAAUUUAUCGCUUUUAUAGAAUUGUAGGUUAAAAAUAGGGUGAUUUAGGCAGCAACAUUUUAGAAAAAAUAAGCAUACAAAGAGAAGCAGUUCUGACUUGAAUUAAAUAGAAAAAAAUUAUAUAAACUCGCAAAUUAGGCGACUGAAUAAAAAGAAUAAAAGGUUGAGAGAGAUAAUAAACCAAUUAAUUUUGCUACUAUUUAAUGCAACUCUAUUGUAGCUUGGUUAGAUUAUGGUUGGAAAAAUUGGUUGGACACAACCUAAGCCACCAAUUUCACACAAGUUGGUCCGAAUCAGGUGCGAGUUCUAGGGGAUGAUGGUUCACCAAUUGCACGUGACUCAUCCGAAUCGGUUGAAUCAUUGAGUUAGUUUCAGUAUAGUUUCAAUCACUGAAGCUGUCGUUAUUUAGUUUCAAUUUAAAGUGUGUUACAUAAACAUGAUUCUGUGUAAAAAUUCGAAUAUCUAUCGAUCGAAAAGAGCCAAAUAAGGAAAGAGUUUUCAAUGUGUUUUAACGUAAAUUUGUAAGUUACUCAUUAAGAGAAACAACUAAUAAGGGAUAUCCAAAUUGAUGAACUUUGCCUCAACGGUCAAAUUAUUUUAAAUUCUCCUCAUCAUGAAUGUUGAACUAAAAAGAUUAUUAAAAUAUUAAAUAUAUAUUUAUAAAAUACUUAAAUAUAAACAACAACUGGGUCCAUAGCUCAGUGGUAGAGCAAUUGACUGCAGAUCAAUAGGUCACCGGUUCGAACCCGGUUGGGCCCUUAAAUUUGAGAAUUUUUUUUUAAAAAAAAUCUUAUUUUAAACUUUUGAAAUUUUGGUUGAAGCAUUAAUUGUUGCAUUGUAUACAUAUAUAUUUUUAAAAUUACAAUUUGUAUAUAUAAUCUGUUGCUCAUUUAUUUAUUAAAACAUUAAUUGAAAAUUAAUUAUUGUCUUUCCAACAACUGGAUUGAUUUUAAUAUUUUUUUAAAGUUGUGUUUUUUUUUAAAAAAAAAAAUCUUUAUUUUAAACUUUUGAAAUUUUGGUUGAAGCAUUAAUUGGUGCAGUGUAUACAUAUAUAUUUUAAAAUUACAAUUUGACAAUCUGUUGCUCAUUUAUUUAUUAAAACAUUAAUUGAAAAUUAAUUAUUGCCUUUCGAACAAUUGGAUUGAUUUUAAUAUUUUUUUAAAGUUGUGUUUCUUUUAUUUUAAACCUUUGAAAUUUUGGUUGAAGCAUUAAUUGUUGCAUUGUAUACAUAUAUAUUUUUAAAAUUACAAUUUGUACAUAUAAUCUGUUGCUCAUUUAUUUAUUAAAACAUUAAUUGAAAAUUAAUUAUUGUCUUUCCAACAAUUGGGUUGAUUUUAAUAUUUUUUUAACAAAAAUGCAUGCAGACCCUCUCAAUAAUGGACCGUUUCAUUUCUUAAAGCAAGCAUUAAUUGUAACUGUAAUUAUUAUUACAGUUCGUAUUUAGUGUCCAAAAUAACAGUUUAAAUAUAACUAAAAAUAAUAGUUAAUUAAAAGAAUUUAAAGCUGACCUGUUGCAUCAAGAAAAAUAAAUUGAGAGGUUUAUUUCAACAAUGACCUAUAUUUGAGGGGAUCCCUGUACAUUUUUCUAUUAUUAUUAUUUUCCAUCAAUUGGCCACAUGAGCCACUGUUUACAGCCAAAAAAAUUAAAAAAAAAACAUCAAUCUAUACAUACUACAGUGGGUAGUUUUCAUUCUAUAAAAUUUGCCCAAACUACAAAAUUAUUUUAGUUUUUUUUUUCCAAAGUUUAUUCUAUUUAUAAAUCUCUAUAUAAAGUCAUAUAAACUAAUCUGAACAAUGGGCUAUUUGGAAUCGGCUAAUUAACUUUUCAAAUUUUUGAUUUUACUUUUCAAUCUUUUGAAUUUGUUUAUUUAGUUCAGCGAACCAGCAUUAUUUUGACUUCAGAAUUUAAACUAAUUAUUUACUAGAAUGAAUUUAAAGGUAAAGUUGAAGUGUUGUUGACCACCUCUAAUCAUAUAAAUGAAAAGAUUCAGCAGUAAAAUUAAAAUUUUAUAAAAUUGGAUAACCAACUCCAAAUAGUUCAUAACUCAUAUCUCCAUAUUUAGCAUCCCUCGACCCCAUAAAAACAAACCUCCCUAUUUUAAGAAUCACUAAUUUAGCAAUAUAUACUUUCGGAAUCUAAACAUAGAAGCUCAAUUUUGAAUAGUACAGAUCUAUCUAUGUUCUACCAUAAACAGCAAAAUAAUAGCUAAAUAUGCUCUGGCAGUGUUCUCGUCAACCCAGAUUAUUCUGAAACAAAUGAAAAGAAUAUUAAUGCUGGAAUAUGCAAUCCAAUGAACAAGCCCAAAACGUGCGAAAAAAGAGAACUUAUCAGAUGCGAAAGAAGCAUCAGACAAUAUUUUCUUCCCAGAAGAUGAGAUGUUUGUUGCAGAAGAUUGCGAAAAACUAGAUCAGAGACCGAAUACCCAGAAAUGAAACUAUUUUAUAGUUAAACAUAAAAACCAUGUAGAAUAAGCAUGUAAAAAAUUAUCCCCUCUACACAACAUUUAACUUUCUAUGAUAAACAGAAGCAUCUUAUGUUUAACAGUUCAUAACACAGCUAAUAUAUGUUCCAACAACAUCGAAUGAAAAGCCGAACAAAAGGUUGGAAUAAACAGCAGCUAACAUUACACAAACACUAGUUGUACAAUUGAAAUUGGUCUUCCCAUGAUUGAUUUUGUCCCUGAAAAUACAAUUCAGGCUAUGCAAGAAAACCCCAAGAAGUAAAAAAAACAAAAACUUUUACAACCAAAGCCAUAUCGGAACAAGAAAAGAGCAAGAUAAUACACUAAUGGUAUCUGAGUUUAAAUUAGAAGGCUUUUAGGGUCAGUUUGGGAGAUGGUGCGGCGGCAGGUACAACAUGGUGAUGUGUCUUGAUAAAUGUCGAGUGAUUGGAGGGGCUUUUUUAGCUUGUUAACUUCGAAAGCACUUUCGACUCCCUCACUUGUGUUAAAAUUAGGCCAGCUACAAGCUCUGGGCCGAGAAUACAAAACAAUGAUAGUAUCUUACCACCCAAGCCCGGCUUGAGAUAUGAAUCAAUUGAAGUGUUUAAAGGGCCUGAUGGUGCGGCAAAACUAUCUUUCGAUGAAAUGUAUUUACACCUGGGGGCAAAAAAGAUAAUACUCCAUAAAAAUUCACCAAUGAAAAUGAUUGUAUAUCAAACAAUAUAACUUAAUGAGUAUGCUUAAUAAAAAGAGGGAACUUGAAAUAACUGUGGUUUAGCGUAUUUGGGCUUCGCUACCAAAUGGACUCAUCUGUUCCACUUUACGACCCAGUGGUUACAAUUUCGUAAGGCCGUAAAGACCUCAUAUUAACAGUAGACUACAAAUGACACAAGGUAUCACAAACCAACACAAAAAUACAUAAAAACACAAAACAGAGCAAUCACUCCCAUGUACGAUUUCUGACAUACCGUUAAUGGGAGGAAUUAUAGCACAAUGAAAUAGUAAUUAUUAGAAGGUUAAAUGCGACAAAUGACUCCCCAUGGUAUACUUGUGAAGAAACAGAUUACUAUCAGAGUACGGUAAUUUGCAUAUAUUUAUCAGAUAUAUUGCGCUAUUCCUAGUUGAAAGUCCGGCAAAGAUCACCAAAUUUUAAUUUGUUUAAUUCAGGAACACGACUCAAUUUCUAUUUAAUCAAGUUGCUCCAUCAGGCUCUGUUUAGUUCUCAUAAUGGUGGCUAAUUUUCGCAGUUGCAUCAUAUCUGAAAGCUAACAUGGCAGCUGAAUAAGUCGCUAUGCCACUGGAAUACUUGUAUGAAUCAACUGCCACAUUAUAGCAACAUCAUCUCUGACAGAUAACAUAGCAAGUGAAUCAACUACCACAUCACGUUUCUGAUAGGAACACUUCACAGCUAUUUGGCGUGGGGACCUGGCUAAAAAGUUUAAAGGUCGUUACGUUUGCAAUAUGUUUGAUGAUUACUGGUGUAAUCAUAACUCACCCUUAUAUUUAUUUAGCAUUUGACUCUUCAGCCUUUUUCUCAGUAAGUGCUAGUUCACCUUUCCCUCUGAAUGUAUAGGGCAUACACAGAAAGUAUCUAGUGUGAUUGUUGCAUGUGUCUUUCAAAGCUGGUUAUGUAAUAGCAAUGCAAUAACGAUCAACAAGUGACAAAAGGUAUAAAUUAGAAAAGGCAGUAGAAGUUGCACCUAAUUAAUUUAGCCAAGCUUCAGUGCCUCCCUAAGGCCAAAGCUGUAGUUACUUUGCAGACCUUUCUUGCCUAAAACUGCAUUUCCUUUCUGCAUCAUUGCCGCAAACUCAUUGUAGUCUAUUCUCCCAUCCUGAAAAAUGUAGGAAUAUAAAAAGAUGUUAAUUAUACCGAUAUCGUAAACUAUAAUGACCUGUUUAGAUAUCAGAUAAAGUUACACAGUGAAAACUUUAGUCCAUUGCAAGGUCCUAAAUAUCAUAAUUUUCAUGUUUUUCUCUUUUUUCACAACAGUAUAUACUACAUGCAAGUUGAAUUAAAAUAGCCUUCGAAACUGGGUAACAUGUUCCUUCUUACACACUUUUAGACAUUUUUUUUCAUGCUUCUAAACAACCAACUAACUAUAUAGUAGUGAAUAAAAAGGAGAGGAUAUACUGGAUAAGUCAUUCUGGCACCCAAAGAGACCCUUGAGGCCUGUUUGGAUGGCGGCACCAAUCAUUGGGUGAAAGUUGUGCUGUGGCAAGAUUUCUGUGAUUGCAGUCUAGAAGUUCGAUUUGAUAGUGAAUUUUCGGGAUAACCUAUCUGACCUACAAGGUUAUGAGAAAAAUAAUCUAAAGACCGGAUAUUAUGCGGGUUUAGACAUCUUUCAUACUCCCCAUCAACCAGUUACCACAGAUCCUGCGAGUUUACAAGAGAGAUAUGCUUUACACGAGGUUCAAGUAUCUGAACAGAGCCUUAAAACUUGUUGCAAGGUAAAAAGGACUUGCAUUAUCUUGAUCUAUUUCUCGGAUUAUCUCUUCAAGCCGAACAUCCUCUAUACCGAACUCCUCACAGGCUUUCUGAAGUUCGUCUUGAGUGAUAUACCCACUACCGUCUUUAUCAAAAUAUGAGAAAGCUGCAAAGAGAUUAUCCUCCCUUUCAACUUUGUUUAGGUGGAGAGUUGCAGCAAUGAACUCUCCAUAGUCAAUGGUCCCACUAUUGUCGAUAUCUGCCUGAAAUAUUAAAAAAAAAAAAACCAAGAGGGUCAACAUGGAUUAACAAAAAAGAAAAAAAUUCAAGGUGAAGUUUGACCCAGAUUCGUAAUUCCAGCCCUACAGUUUCAACUAUAAAAUUUAGUCCUAAAGUUUUGAUUUCACUUCAGUUUAGUCCUCCAACUUUCCUGGUCAAUUUAGUACCAAAAGAUUUACCCCAAUUUCAAUUUCGUCCAUAGAAUUUCAACUUUCAAUUUUGACGAAGCACAGUCUACAUAGUGCGCAGAUGUGGACCCCUUCUACCAGCCGUAAAUUAAAGACAUUUAUGCUGAACAACCUUCAACGACUAAAUUGUUACAAUUGAAAUUAUGAGGGCAAAGUUGAAAUGAAAGCCAAACUUCAUGGACUAAAUUUGUAACUAGCCAUAAAUUCAAUUAUAUUUAAUUAAUUAUCUAAUAUUAUAAUAUAUUUAAUAUUAUAAUAUUUGUAUUACCAUAUUUUUGUGUAUAACCUUAAUUAUUCACGAUAUAAUUAAUUUUAUAUAAACUAAAUGAAUCCCUCAAAGAUAGUAGGAAAAGCUACUCCAGAAACAAACAACGACACAAAUAAUCCCACAAGUACUUACCGCUUCCAUAAGAGCUGCAAUUUCAGAUUCCUUGAGAUUUGCGCCAACUUUCUCCAACCCAACCUUGAGUUCCUCGAAUGUGAUCUGACCACUAUUAUCUGCGUCGAUCAUCUUGAACAUCUCUUUCAAGCCUGCGAUUUCCUCUUCUGACAUGCUCUCAGCAAUGACCUGCGAAUAUGACACAUUUUCAUUAUAAAGUCAAGUUUGUCAAAGAUAAUAAAGGACUUAAUUAGAGUACGGAAGAAAAAAUAAUACAACAAAUAUUAUUCUUUGUGAGAAGAAACAAUCAAAUAUGCAAACUUAGAUUCUUUAUGAUUCUAACUAUCAGAAAAGGCAGUAAAUCUUUUUCUUUUUCUUUCUUCUAAAGCACCAAAAAUUGUAAAACCAGGAAGUAUCCAUAAACAGAGCCAAAGGAUACUAAAAGAGUACAUUCUAAUUAUUUAGCUUCAUCAGGGCCUCCUGUGGUAUAAGGCUCUAACCAAUUGUAGGAGAACUCAAGAAAACUACGAAAGGAAAACAAAAUCUCCUCAUAUUUCAAGUUGAUUAACAGUCCCAUCAAGAUCGAACAGACAAGUGGUCAAAGCAGAACCAGUUUAAUACGUAAAAAAGGUCUUAAAUCAUCAGUUCUACGAGGUAUUCACUUCAGCACAAUGAUUUUAGGUCGACUCGAUUCAUCUUUGACACCAAUAAAAUGGUUUAUACUAGGGCAAAUCCUACAGAGAAAACACAAUUUGCUAUGCAUACUCUCCAAUAUUACUACAAUCCUGCACAGGUUACCAUUCUAGACCUAGAUCUAUUCAUCCUCCGACUAAAACCUUAGGAAACCAUCAAACAGAUUAAAAAUAUCUAUACUGCUCAAAACAAAACCGCCUAAUAACUGUAAUUUCUGCAAAUUUUAUGACGAGGAUGCCUUCCAAGGAAAUUCUCUACGAGGGAUAAUGGUAGCAAUCAGAGAAAUGUAUAACGUGGCCAAAGUGCAACUGAGAAAUUUGCCCAACAGGAAAUCAUCUGGGUAAAACUACUAGAUCAAAUAAUAGCAGCAGAAAAAGAGACAAGAUUUUUUCUUUUUUAAUUAAUGAGAACAGAUACUCACCCUAAGGGCCAUUUUCUUGAGCUUGUUCAUUGCAGAGAAUUGCUUUAAUCGGGUUAGGACAGCAGAAUCAAGAGGCUUGUCAGGAGCAACACCAUCCACCCGCACCCAAGGGUGACCUAGAAGAAUUCAAACGGAAAAAUUAUUAGAAGAAACUGUGACAAAAAUAAAAUUUCCAGCAGAUGAUCAGUAUGUGCUGGGCUAUGAGUUUGCGCAUAUUAGUACAGCCACAUAAACCGUUGAAUAUUAUUAUAUUAAGAAGUUAAGAAAUGAGUAUAAAUCUUUUUGACAAGUAUAUAAUAAUGCUUAUUUUAAAACAACAAUCUAUUGGCAGACCCUUUUUUUUUCACUGCUGUCUACCUAUUUUGCAAGCACUACUUAUCCAGGGCAAUUUUCUAUGAGAAGGUAACCGAUUAUUUAAAAUUAAAUGACCAGUAAAUUUCAGACAAAAGUGCAACUCACAUAGAGCUUCAUGAGCUGUUAACCGCUUUCUGGGAUCUCUCACUAACAUCUUCCUAACCAAAUCUUUUGCACUCUCUGAGAUGCUGGGCCAUGGCUCCGAAGAAAAGUCAAGUUCACCUUUUAAGACUUGCUCAAAUAUUCCCUGCUCUGUUUCUGAAUGAUAAAAACAACAACAAAAAAAAAAGAGUAAACAUCUGGAUUAUGCAGUAAUUUCUUUCAAAAAACAAUGGAUGAUUUAUGAGAAGCAACAAGAAUUAAUGUACUGACCAUCCCAAAAUGGAGGGACCCCACUUAAUAAGAUAUAAAUGAUCACACCGGCACUCCAAACAUCUGCCUCAGGACCAUAAUGUUUUAGAAGAACUUCGGGUGCAACAUAGUAUGGGCUUCCCACAACAUCCGUAAAUAUAUCACCUGAAAAAUGGAUGAUGAUCCAUCACAAUUGGAUAUGGCAUACCAUUUUAGACAACUAUAUCGUCUGAAUUAUCUGCACGCAACAAGUACAGGGAAGUAGCUCCUCUGCCAUACAUUGGUGUAAAAGGAUCCACAAUAAUAUUGUAUAGUUGGAAAUUUUGUCACUUCUUGUUAUUUUCCGUAUCAGAAUAUAAGUUCGUCGGGCACAACAACUUCAGCAUCACCACCCGCUCAGUAGUCAUUGCAAUCUCAUUAAUGACAGUCGCUACAACACAAGAAUUCGAGUCCUGCCCUAUCUAUAGAUUACAAGAAUUCCUUAAUAUUGCAGACAAAUUAAUGUAAACUCUAGGUGUCAAGGCAACUUUGAACGAGAUGGAGCUUGCAAUGUAACCCAAAUAGCUAGUUGGCAGGUUGAGACUUGUGGGCAAAACUAAUCUAUAAAUGACACAUUUUUUUAAUUCAUCUAUAAGGAAAUAGCCAUAUGAAAGUUUGCUUAACUUGAGAAUAACAAAAUGGCAGGAGACUGCGAAGGUUUAGUUGUGGCCUCAUCCACAGGGAGCAAACUAAAAUGCAAGAGUUCUAUGAAACUGAUCCACCAACGGCAACCAAGGCUAUCUUAUAUUCAGUACGCUGCUAAUAUAAAAAGUGAAAAGGAGAAACAAAUGUAGCAGCCUGUGCUCCAGGGUAUUCAGUGUCGAAGUUUUAGCUUCAGGACCAGUGCCAUUUAUAUAAUUAACAAAAGUUAAUCCUUCUAUUAUGACAAAUUCAAGGCACUUGUUUGCUUCCUAUGUACCAAUACCUCAUAUUCUCAGGCAAAGCAAGAGUGUUCACGCUCUUACCGACAUCUUCACAUUUAAGAUAUGGGAACAUCAUAGUUCUUUUCUGAUAAUUGUCAGUAAAAUCACCUGAAUCUUUCUUUCUCCCUAGCAGUAUUAGUAAAUCAGUCUUACUUGAAUUUCAUCUACUUAACCAUGUCUGAUGCAAAUAUAUACACAAUUCUCCAACUACUUAUGUCUCCCGUCCAAUUAUAGUGGAAAUUUUGCAACAUCUCCAUAUUACUUAAGUAUAUUUUUAGUGCUCAAAACAUCUUUCUUGAGAAGAAUGAUGUCCAUGUAACCAAAAACCAUACCCAAUAGCGUGGAAAAUAUGGAAAAAAAUUUCAAUAGAAUGCCAUAACUAAUCAAACUUCAUAAAUAAUGAAAAGAUCUACCUGGCUUGAAGAAUAUAGAGAGCCCAAAAUCAAUCGUCUUUAGAGACGAAUCCUCCUUCUGAUUAACAAAGAGAAAGUUUUCGGGUUUUAGAUCGCGAUGCAUGACCCCCAACGAGUGGCACGCCUCCACGACACCCACUAUCACCCUCGCGAGUUCCGCUGCAGCCUUCUCCGAGUAGUGCCCUCUCUGUAUGAUUCUGUCGAAGAGCUCCCCACCGGCGCAGAGCUCCAUGACGAGGUGCACCGCGACGGCAUCCUCGUAGGCACCGACAAUGGAGAUGACAUUGGGGUGCCCUGCAAGGUGGUGCAUAAUCUGGAUCUCGCGCCGGACAUCCUCGACAUCCUCCUCGGUGAUGAGCUUCCGCUUAGCAAUUGACUUGCAGGCAAACUCUUUACCUGUGGCCUUCUCAACACAGAGGUAGGUCGUGCCGAACUGGCCCUGGCCGAGCUUGCGGCCGAGGCUGUAGAGAUCCUUCAACUUCUCCGUCUUCCGCUGCAGCACAGAGCCCACCUGUGUUCGAACAUAAAAAUAUCCAAACAUCAUUUUUUACCAACUAAAGCAUUUUCCUAGCAUGCUAAACUUGUUUUACAUGGCAUGACAGCAGGAGCUCCGAAGUUUAAAUCCCAAAAAACUCCCGGUAUCAUUCGAUUUCCUCCCAUUUCAAUUCAAAGUCUACAUCUUGGACCUAUCAAAAGCUACAAGCCCAAACAUUGCUCUCUAAGCAGCUAUUAAAGCAAUCAGUUGCCCCGUAUUCGACUCCUCCCAUCAAACUCUCCAAGUCUCAUUUGAUUUCUCCUCUCAUUUUAAUUCAAGUCCGCAUCUUGACCAAUCAGACCAUUAAAAAAAAAAAAAGAAUCGAAAAACAUCGUUAUGUAGCAGCUUAAAAGCCAACCUGGAGCCCGGCGCUCGACACGCGCCUGAAGUGCGCGGUCGCGGGCUUCUUCGGAGGGGGAGCCUCUUCCGCCGGCGGCGCCGCCGCGGCGGAAACGGGAAGGUUGGGGGUCGGAGCAGGGGCGGUUUGGUUGUGGCGGGCGUGGUGGUUGGAGUCGGGGAUGGUGACGGGCUCGGGGGGCUUAUCGGGGGCGGGAUCGGGGGGGCGGGAGGAGCGCCAGAGGACGGCGAGGGAGACGGAUUGGAAGAAUCCGUGGCGCCCUACGCUCGGGCCGACGCAGCUGUUCCCCAUCGUCGUCGAAGGAGGCCGCGAUCGAUCGGCGCUACAACUGCGCAACGUCGCUAGGAAGGGCCGCCCAUUUCGAGAUGAGAAGAGACACGAGUAGAGGUAGGGGAGAGGAAGAGGGUGAUCGCCGGAACCCUAGUAUCGUUUCCGGGGUCGCCGGAACCCUAGGAUCGUUUCCGGGGUCGCCGGAACCCUAGGAUCGUCGGCCGAUCCGGCGCAAGGUGCCCUUCUUAGGAUCACGGUGAUCCAGCGAUGGAUGAGAACGAGGAGGAGGAGAGUGGCGGAGGCGAAGCUCUGAUGAGAUACGAACCGUACAAAUGGAGAGAGAGAGAGAGAGAGAGAGAGAGAGAGAGAGAGAGAGAUGGAGGAGGAAACGAGAGGGGAAGGAGACAAGGAUCCGGGUGGGGCGGAAGAGCCGCGUCCAGUUUAAUUUACUGGCGCUUACAAUUUCUUUUUCUUUUCCUUUUAAAUCUAAUAUAAAACCAAUAUAUUAUUAUAUUGUAUUACUUUUUGAAUUUUUUUUAAAAUUUUUUAAAACUCUGCCAGCAACUAUCUAAUUUUUUAAUUUAUUUGAUUUGAUUCGGCCGACGAUAUUUUUAAAUUUUAUAUUUAGGUAAAUUAUUUAUUUCAAAACAUUUAUAGUCACGAUAAUUACACUAAGAAUUAAGAAUACUAACUAAACCUAUAAAAAUAAUUAAUACAUUCGAAACUUACUCACAUCAAAUGAAUUAAAAAAUUAAAUAAUAAAAUUAAAAUUAAAAUGGUUGGGAGACUAACUCGAAAAUGUAUGCAAUUCUAACAUAUUUUGCAUGUUAUUACUUUAAAAUAUAUGUAUAGUUAGUCUAUUUUCGAAAAUAUAGAAAUAAUAGUAGCCCCUCGUAUUUAGUGGUUCUCUAGAAAAAUAAUAUUAAUCCGAACUAGAAAUAAUCAAAAGGUUGAUUUUAAGGAAAAAUUCUAGAAUGCAACGGGUAUAUUAGUGACGUGGCGUAACAAACCAAUCAAAUUAAUGCUUUUAAGAAUAUAUGUCCCAUCAUGAUUGUAAAAAAGUAUUUUUAUUGUACUUUUUUUUGACAAGAAUGAAUGUGAUUGGCUUGUUAUUGAUGACGUGGUGCAAGUGUGACAGUGUAGAAUUCCUCGAUUUUAAGAGUUGGCCUUUUUGCAUAAAAAAUCCACUUAUUUUGGGCUUUUGCAAAACCGGGUCACCUUUUUCGUUUUUGCAGAUUCGGUCCGCUUUUUCAGCAAACUGACCAAAAUACCCUUAUUACUUUUUCUCUUUCCUCUUUCUCUCUCCUCUUCGUUUCUAUCGUUUUUUUUUUUUCGCCGAAAAAAAAAGAGGCGGACCGUCGCCUUCUUCUUCACCGUCGCCUCCCUUCUCACCCUCCUCUCUCACCGGCCCGGCGACCCCCUCCUCCUCUCCUCCGCCUGCGGACCCCCAGCCCGAUUCCGUCGCCGCGGGCCGGGCAGCGGCCACGGCGAACGGUCGGGCUGGGAUGCGGGGAGAAGAAGACCACGGCGAAGGAAGAAGGAAGGGGUGACAAGCGCAGGGCGCAGGAGGGGGAGGCCGGAAGCGCAACCGGCGCCGGCACCAGCGCCGCGCGUGUUCUUCUCCGUCGCGCUGCCCCUCCUCCCGUCCGCUCCGCGCAGAAGCCCGCCGACCAGGCGCCUGCUGCUUUCUCCCACGACGACGCGAGCGCCGCGGUCCGGCCCCGGACCCGACCCGAUCCCGUCGGCCGCAGCGGCAGGCCGCCCGGAACGGGGUCGGACUGUUUUAUUUAAACUGCCACAUCUUUAACAGAGCUAAUGUAUUACUGGCUUCCUCCUCGUUGUUGGCCACUGUUUUCUCCUCUUUGUUGCACUGUUUUCCCUCAGUGCAACAAGGAGGGAGAACAGUGCAACCAAAGGAGGGAGGAAGCAGUAUAAAUAUCUCUUAAAGGUUGCAGUUUAAGAUAAAUGUGCCAGUUUUUUUUUUGUUGCCCCACCAUUUUUUCUUCUUUUACACUGUUUUUAUUUUAAAUGCCACUGCAUUUAAGAGAUAUUUAUAGCUGCUUCUUCCUCUUGCUUGCACGGUUGCUCCUCCUUUGUUGCAACUGUUUCUCCCUUUAAGAGGAAGAAAACAGUUUGCAACAAAGGAGGAGAAACAGUGCAACUUUCAUUUAAAGAGUGUAUAUUUUUUAUUCUUAGUGGGGUGCAGUGUUAUAUUCUGAAAGAAUGCGUAAGGAAAGAGAAAUACAGUGUAAAAUAUCUUUCAAAGAGUUGUUAAGUUUUCAUUUUAAAAGUGUAAUUUUUAUUUUAAAAGCGUGCCCAGUUACAUUCUUAGAGGUAGUGCAACUUGUAAUUCUUUUUGCUAGUUACGAUACAAUUUUAUUCUUCAUCGCUUUUUUUUGUCUAUAUUAAUUUUUUAUCUUUAUUUUUUUCUGUUUUUUUUUUGCACCCUCUCUGCGUCAAUAGGCCACGGUGUCGGUGACGCCGCCGCUAAAGACCUCGAGGCUGCCAGGGCCGCCAGUGAUUCUCCACCGGGUGUCGGCGUCGGGUCGGGCGAAGCACUGCAUCGGUCGGUCGGGAGGCAGCAGAAAAGGAGGGAGAAGAGAGAGGAGAAGGCAGAAAAGAGCGGAGAGAAGGGGUCGUCGGUCGAAACCUGGGGUUUGGAGGAGGAGUCAGAGAAGAAAAGAAAGAAAAAUCGCAAAAAAAAAAAAAAAGUCACAGCCCGGCCUUAGGGGGAUCGGAGGCGAGGAAGGUGGGGGCGCCGGCGGCGACGCCGCUCUGUCUUCGCCGCUCUCUGGGAAGAGAGAAAAAAAGAAGGAGAGAAAAAAGAGAAAAGAAAAAGGUAUAAGGGCACCUCCGCUCCGUCUUCGCCGCUCUCUGGGAAGAAAAAGAAAAAAGAACGAGAGAAAAAAAGAGAAGAGAGAAAGAGGAAAGAGAAAAAGGUAUAAGGGUAUUUUGGUCAGUUUGCUGAAAAAGCGGACCGAAUCUGCAAAAGCCAAAAAGAUGGCCCGAUUUUGCAAAAGUCCAAAAUAAGUGGAUUUUUUAUGCAAAUUGGCCUUAAGAGUUUACUGGAUUGUCAUAAUUAAUAAAGUUUGAGUCAAAAUAGUAUGAAAAUUUAAAAUUUACAAAUCAAAAUAUCAUGCAACUUAGCAGUUUGAGAAUAAAAAAUAUAAUAAUUUAUACUAAUCCGAGCACAAUCUGAACGAAUCCAAAGUGUAUGUUUGGAUUGGAUACAAGAGGGAAGUAAGGGGGUUAUCCCUCUCUUGUACCCAAACACUACUUGGGUGGGUGGGAACAAAUUGUUCCCGUAAUCCCUUGGUGGGAACUUGUCCCCACCCCACUGGGUAGAGAGAGAGAGAGAGUUAUUUAAAAAAAUUACAAUUUAAAUUUUUAGAAUUUAAAAUUUAUAAUCUCAAAAUUAUAAAAUUUUAAAUAAAAGUUUAAAUUUAAAUUUUGAUUUUUUUAAUUUUUAAUUUUUAAAUUUGAUAUUUUAUAUUUUUUAAAUUUAAAUUUGAUCUUAAAUUUAAAAUUUGAUAUUUAAAAUUAAAAUUUUUAAAAUUAAAUUUUAAUUUCAAAUUUUAAAUUUAAAAUUCAAAUAUAAUGAGAAGGUAAUAUCAUUAUUUUUUAUUUAUAACCAUCAACUAUUUCUCUUAUUCCCAAUAACCAUUCAAACACAAUUUUUCUAAUUUCAGUUUAUACUUACAUUUUUAUCCAAAAAAAAAAAUAUUCUUGUUCUUAUAAAAACUCAUAUUUAUACCUAUUCUCGAUAUAACUAGUUCCUACUAAUUUUUGAACCAAAUGGAGCCAAAAAGUCGAACCGAACCGGAACAGAUUGGCUUAAUUUUCUAAUUAGAAUUUACCACUAUUACCCCCAAAUCGUCACGUGCAAAUCACGUGCCUUACACCGGAGGAAUGGGCCGAAUGGCUUAUUAUCACGUGCGUCUCACGUGUCACGAACUCGCCGCCUCGACUCACCGACUCGGGAAUCAUCUUCUCCAUCGUCCUCUCCUCUCCAAAACCCUAAUUCCCCAAGCCCACCUCUCUCUCUCUCUCUCUCUCUCUCUCUCUCGCGAUAACAUGUUCGAACCCUCCUCCUGCGCCAUUGGAGCCCCACUUACCCUCUCUCAUCCUCCACCGCGAGGAUCCCCGCCGCCGUCAUCCACACCUACCUUAUCAAAUCACACGAAUUCUCGUUCAAAAUCGCAAUUAAACCUCGCAUUCUCGACCCCUUCUUGCUAGGGUUUCCCAAUUUGAUCCCGAUCGAUACCAAAGGACCCUUCUUUUUGGCCUCGAGCUUGGGUCGGGGACGAUGGAAGGGGAAGAAGCGCCGUGUCGGAGGAUCCGGAACAUCUGCAUCCUGGCCCACGUCGACCACGGCAAGACCACGCUCGCCGACCACCUCAUCGCCGCGUGCGGCGGCGGCGUCCUCCACCCGAAGCUCGCGGGGCGGCUCCGCUUCAUGGACUACCUCGACGAGGAGCAGCGCCGCGCCAUCACGAUGAAGAGCUCCUCCAUCGCCCUCCACUACCAGGUCAGGCGUACCCACAAUAUUCUCCUAAUUUCUUAUGUUUUUAUGUUUUUACGUUAGAUCAAUGUUUCCUGUUUUUGUUUACUGAAUAGUUAAAACUUUAGACCUUAAAAUUUUGGCCCUAAUUCUAAUUUCAUCAUCUUCAUUGUUUCAAUUAUGAUGAUUUGGUCCCUAAAAUUUGCUCUGCAUAAAGAUUGGGCCCGUGCUGUUACUUUAUCAUCAUAAACUGAUGUUGUAGUCAACUCGAUAUUUAGAGUUGUCUUUAUUAUAUUGAAAAGUUUGAAGACGAAUCUUUAAAUUUGGUGGGGAAAAAAAAUGAAGCUUUUAGGAUGUUGAUUGAAUUCAUGGCGAACUUCAGAUAAAUUGUUAUGAUUAAAGCUUUAUGGACAUCAUCCAAAUCUGGGUUAAACUUCGAGGACUGAAUUUGAAAUCAACCUUUUGUUUACUCAACCUGGCUUUAUAUUUCUGUUCCUAAUUAACCGUAUGAAUUUAUGAACUCCGUAAUUAAUCCCGAAGCUGCGACUGUACUGCCAGGGGCACUCUAUUAACCUGAUCGACUCCCCAGGCCACAUGGACUUCUGCAGUGAGGUCUCCACAGCUGCCCGCCUGAGCGAUGGCGCCCUCGUCCUUGUUGAUGCUGUCGAGGGCGUCCACAUCCAGACCCAUGCCGUUCUCCGCCAGGCCUGGGUUGAGAAGCUCACCCCUUGCCUGGUGCUUAACAAGAUCGACCGCCUCAUUACCGAGCUCAAGCUCACCCCUGCUGAAGCCUACACCCGCCUGCAAAGAAUUGUUCAUGAAGUGAAUGGGAUCGUGAGUGCAUUUAAAUCUGAGAAAUACCUCUCCGAUGUGGACUCCCUUCUUGCGGCAGGGCCAGGGGGGAACGAGGCUGAUGAUGCCGAAGUGGAGGAUGAUGUGGAGGACACGUUCCAGCCCCAAAAGGGGAACGUGGCCUUUGUAUGUGCAUUGGAUGGGUGGGGGUUUUCUAUCGGUCACUUUGCGGGCAUCUAUGCUGCAAAGCUUGGGGCGAGCACAAAUGCUUUGUUGAGGGGUUUGUGGGGUCCAUGGUAUUACAACACGAAGAAAAUGACGAUAGUCGGGAAGAAAGGGAUUGAAGGAGUGAGUAAGGAUCCGCAACCUAUGUUCGUGCAAUUUAUACUCAAGCCUUUGUUUCAGGUCUAUCACGCGGCCUUGGAUGCCGAAGGUGAUAAAGGAAUGCUUGAGAAGGUUAUUAAAUCAUUCAAUCUCUCCAUUCCUCCUCGCGAACUUCAGAAUAAGGAUCCAAAGGCUGUUCUACAAGCGGUCAUGAGCCGAUGGCUCCCGCUGUCCGAUACUGUAUUAUCAAUGGUGGUUAGGUGCAUGCCUGAUCCAAUCUCGGCCCAAUCCUUUAGGAUAUCACGCCUAUUGCCGAAAAGAGAUUUUGGGUUGGAUCAGGUUGGAGAUAAUGCUGAUGUAAUUGCUGAAGUUGAACAUGUGAGAAAAUGUGUUGAAGUUUGUGAUUCUAGCGAUAGUGCUCCAUGUGUUGCCUUCGUUUCUAAAAUGUUUGCCGUCCCUUAUAAGAUGCUUCCUCAAAGGGGCCCAAACGGAGAAAUUUUGAAUAACCAACAUCCGGGAGAAGCCGGAAUCGGAGAGUCAGAAGAGUGCUUCUUGGCAUUCGCUAGGGUUUUCAGUGGAGUUCUUCGUGCUGGGCAAAGGGUUUUCGUGCUUUCUGCGUUAUAUGAUCCAUUAAAAGGAGAGUCCAUGCAAAGGCAUGUACAAGAAGCGGAGCUUCAAUCCUUAUAUCUCAUGAUGGGUCAAGGACUUAAACCCGUUGCCUCUGCUAGUGCGGGAAAUGUAGUUGCAAUUCAAGGUUUAGGGCAAUAUAUUUUGAAGAGCGCUACUCUCUCAUCCACCAAGAAUUGUUGGCCUUUCUCUAGUAUGAUGUUUCAAGUGGCGCCGACACUUAGGGUUGCGAUCGAGCCAUCUGAUCCAUCUGAUAUGGGCGCACUCAUGAAGGGAUUGAGGCUUCUUAACCGUGCAGAUCCCUUUGUUGAAAUUACGGUUUCGUCGAGAGGCGAGCAAGUGCUUGCGGCGGCGGGAGAGGUUCAUUUGGAAAGAUGUAUAAAGGACUUGAAGGAGAGGUUUGCCAAGGUUAGUUUGGAAGUAUCGCCCCCCUUGGUCUCAUUCAAAGAGACCAUCGAAGGUGAAGAUACUAAUGUAGUCGAGAAAACAACUCCUAAUGGAAGGUGUAUCGUGAAAGUUCAUGUUAUGAAACUUCCUGAUGCCCUAACAAAAGUUCUCGAGGAAAGCGGUGAUGUGAUUGGAGAUAUUGUUGAGGGCAGAUCAGGAAAGAGAAAUGGGAACUUGGAUACACGGGAUUCUUAUGAUGAUGGUAAUUCUGUUACGGUGAUAAAAAAACGGAUAAGUGAUGCAAUAGAAAGUGAAAUAGAAGCUAUUUCACCACAAGUCGAUAAAGAAAGGGUCGAAAAGUAUAGAAAGACAUGGUUUCGAUAUCUUAAAAGGAUGUGGUCCCUUGGUCCCAGGCAUGUCGGCCCCAACAUCCUUCUCGUACCAGACAUAAAAGCAGAUGAUUUUACAGAUAACAAUCAUAUUGAAAGGGGUAUUUUGAUUCGCGGUUCAUGCCAUAUCUCUGAAAGACUUGGGUUUACUAAUCCAAACGAUACUGAAGUGUCAGUAGACAAAAGUGACCCGCUAUAUAUAGAAGCUGAGGCUCUUAAGAGUAGUAUCGUCUCAGGCUUUCAAUUAGCCAUGGCUGCUGGGCCCUUAUGUGAUGAGCCCAUGUGGGGUUUAGCCUUUCUCGUCGAGCCUUACAUUUUUCAGGAAAAUCCUGAAUCUGCUCUUCAAUCCACUGAUCAGUACGGCAUCUUUAGUGGGCAAGUCAUGACUGCUGUAAAAGAAGCUUGUAGGCUCGCUGUACUCCAGAACAAGCCAAGGCUCGUCGAGGCGAUGUACUUCUGUGAACUGAAUACGCCCACAGAGUAUUUAGGCUCAAUGUACGCUGUUCUUGCAAGAAGGCGGGCUAGGGUUUUGAAGGAGGAGAUGCAAGAGAGUUCUUCAUUAUUCACUGUGCAUGCAUAUGUUCCAGUCGCUGAGAGCUUCGGGUUUGCUGAUGAGCUCAGGAGGUGGACUUCUGGUGCUGCUAGUGCACUUCUGGUACUUAGCCAUUGGGAGAUGAUUCAAGAAGACCCCUUUUUCAUACCGAAAACAGAGGAGGAGAUCGAAGAGUUUGGAGAUGGGUCGAGCGUUUUACCGAACUUGGCGAGAAAGUUGAUGAAUUCGGUCAGGAGAAGGAAAGGACUUCCUGUGGAGGAGAAGGUUGUUCAACAUGCCACAAAACAAAGGACACUUUCCCGGAAAGUGUGAUUGUAAGUGCUUAACAUUUGAGCUUCUUUAUUUAUAAACUAAUACAAAUUAUUACUACAGGUUGGAAUUGUAAAUCAAACUGAGAUUCAUAAUGCAACUAUUGAUCUGUUUUUGUUUGUGCCAUUGUAUUUUUUAUACGAGAAAAUGUAAGGUUAGAUUUCACUCUUACUGGCUUUGCAUUAAGUUAGUUUGAAAUCAUCGGUCCAGUUUGAAUGCGCUCAAGUUAUGCAUUUGUCUUUUUUUCUUGCCGGCCGAAAUUAUCCUUGUAUUGGUAAUUUGUGCUCCAAAAUUUGAAUCUCAUCAUGUAUUUAUAGAUUCCACCACUUCAAACAUAUCCUUUUGUAGCUUUGACCUAUUGAGAAUAAUGGAGUAUUUCACGUUGGAAUCACCUUUAUAUUUUAGCAUUUACUCCGCGUCAUACUGUAUAGUGCUCGGAAUUGCUUUCUUCCUAAUUUUACCAUAUUUUGAUUUUUCUAUAGAAAUUUGUUGAAGCUUGAGCUUGGCAAUCUCCAAUCUUAAUUACUAAAAUGCCUUAGCAUAUUUUGUUUGAAUGUUUUGGUUUUAAAUUAGUAAUUGUACCACCUUCAUCAUUGUGUAAUUAGCCUCCUUUUCCAUAUUCGUGUUCCAACUGUCUUGCGCUGUGGAUUGUUAGUGUUCCAACUGUCUUGCGCUGUGGAUUGUUAGGGUUAUCUGUAGUAUGACUUCUGCUUCUGGAGUAGAAAGAAAAGUUGUUCCAGAACUCUUAUUUGAUAACUUUUUAGGCAGAAACUUAAAAGUUAGGGUUGUUAAUUUACAGAAUCAAUAGAUAGUACGACUUCUAUUUCUUGAGUAGAGAAAGCUCUAAAAUUUUUUAAAUACACACAUAAAUGUAGGAAGAACAUCUUUGUGAUUUACUCCCCUGCCUCAAGUUUUAGAGAUCCCUCAACAAUUACUGAGACUACCAUAACAAGCCUCCAAAGAGUAAACCACCCAUGAGAAAAGGCUUAUCAUAAUCUCAAUUCAAACAGCAGAUUUAAACAAUGUAUUAUAUUAUUUAUACAUAAAAAUAUAAACUCAGUUCACCAAACUUUGAAUUUGAGUAUUAGCUUGGAAUUUCAAGAUCCUUCAAUCUUUUAUUGUAAACAACAAUUGCAGUAAGACAUGCACUAGAACACAUAGGGUAUCAAUGCCUUGACAUGUUUAGGGAACUGGUCAAACUUGGAUAGGUACCACUUCCUGGUUGCAUAGCUCCUCCCUAUCAGAUAAAACAUGGUCCCAAAUGUGAAGGAGAAGGCGUACACCGUUUGCGAGAUCAGCGAGACUCCGAAGAACCCUAGAAUCUCGAAGAGGUAAUGAGGACACACGACGAGGUCGAAGAGCCCGCCCCGCGGGAUUUUGUACUCUUUCUCGCCCUGCUUCCUCAACUUCGACAGGAGGUAGUGGUGGUAGAAGUUGCCCGCGAGUCCUAAGAAGAAGAGCGCGACACCGAUGUAUUUCAAGUCGCUCGCGGGUUCCGACAUCGGUUGAGUGAGAUACUGCGCGUAGAUCAUGGUCGCCGUGCUGAUGAAAUAGCUGAAGGAUAUUGGGAGAGCACUGCCGAGGAGCAUAUGGCCGCUAUACUGAUGAAUGAAUAAGACCUGGAAAGGAAAGGAAAGGAAAAAGAACCAAAAAGAGAGAGAGCUAAGGAUUAGUUAGAGCAUUAUAUUAUGUCAUCAUUCCUCAUAAGUUAUGUGGAAUUUACAGCAUCAUUAAGGCAUCAAUUCAUUACUGCUGUUGUUGUUGUUUUAGAUAUAUACUCUGAGACCCUCAGCCCAAGACCCUCCUAAGAAUCUAUACUAUAAAAUGGCAUACUGCACGAAUAUCCUAAUAAAUCAGGAAUAAUAAUAUAUUUUCUGCGGUUCUCGAUCGUAAAAUAAACAUAAGAACAUGUAUAUGGAAGAAUCACCUCCAUCACCCUCUUGAAGAAAUGGAUGCUCAGUGCGGCGCUGAGCCACCGCGCCCUCUCCCCGACGACGGCGCCGGGGAUGGCAAACGACGCCAGCGCAGCGACGAGCGCCGGAGCGUAGAGGAGGAGCAUCCCUUCGCGGCUCGGGAGGCGGCGGCUGCCGGCAUUACUGCGGGUGCUGGUGACGGCGUUCCAGAACUUGGAGUAGUUGAGGUGCUGGCCCCUCACCUCGGCGGCUCCGGUGUUGGCCAGCGACGCGAAGCUUAUGGCCGACAUCGCCGUCACGAAGACCGACGGCGGCGGCGGGUAGACGAAGCUGAGCAAGAAGGACGACAUCGAUCUGUGCGCAGCAGCUAGCAAAUGCAAAUGCAAAUGCAAAUAUGCAACGCGGUGAUGCUGUUUCUCCUCUACCACCUGUACCUAUUUAUUUGAGGAAGAAGAAGAAGGGAGAGAAAGAAGCGGAGAAUUUAUCAUAUAAUAAUAAUAACACAAGUUUUUACUACUACCGAAGUAACACACCACCAAACAGAUUUGUACGAGACCGGAUCAAACAACGACCUCAAUGUGGAAACACAGACACACACACACACACACACACACACACACACACACACACAAAAGGGUAAAAAAAAAAAAAGAAAAAAAAAGAAAAAAAAGGAAGAAAAUGGGCUUUUUUUGCAUUUGGCCCCCUGAAAAAAAUUUAUUUUAUACAUAGUCCCAACAAAUUUAUAUUUGUAAAAGUAGUCUUAGUCCCGCCACACAGGCGGCACGUCGACGCCACGUCAGCGGAACUGCAUAUUAAGUUGAAUACGGUGAACUAUUCACCGUGUUUAAAAAUAGUCCUAGUCCUGCCACACAGGCGCCAUGUCGACACCACGUCAGCGAGACUGUAUAUUAAGUUGAAUACAGUGAAUCAUUCACCGUGUCUAAACCGUGUUUGGAGAAAAUCAGCGAGACUGCAUAUUAAGUUGAACACGGUGAAUCAUUCACUGUGUCUAAACACGAUGAAUGGUUCACCAUGUUUGGAAAAAAUAUAACAUAUAUGAAUUGUGAAAAAAUAUAAGAAAAAUAAAAAAAGGGAGGAAGGGGAAUAUAGGUAUGGAAUACGGUGAAUGAUUCAUUUUGUUUGAAAAAAAUAUAGUAUAUAUGUAUUGCGAAAAAAUAUAAAGAAAAUAAAAAAAGGCCGUGUUUGAACACCGUGAAUGAUUCACCGUGUUCAACAUAAAAUCAUGACGCUAAUGUGGCGCCUGCAUGGUAGAAAUAUGACCAAAUUUGUAAUUAUAAAUUUAAUAAGACUAUUUAUAAAAAAAAAUAUUUUGAGGGAGCCAAAUACGAAAAAAAAAAAAAACCAAAGAAAAGGGUGUCGUAUUUAUUUAUUAUUUAAAGAGAUGCAGGAGGGCGGAGGACAUGUGGCUGGGGUGGCCCGGAAACGUGGCCAUCGUACGAUCCACAGGGAAGCUGGGGCGGAUGCCGCGUGCAGGACGGCCCGACCAAGUGCUUCUUCCAGAGGCGCUUGCCCACUAGACGCGUCCCUGCAGCAGUCUGGACUUCGGGAUUACAAAUACUUUAUAAAAUAACAUAUAUUAUGAUGAUGAUAUUUAAUUGAUGAAGAAAUAUAAAUUACAAAAAGAUAAGCAUUAUUUGCAAUUUUAAAGUUAAAAUUCAUCUGCUGAAUUGUAUAGUUUGUAAAAUAUUAUAAAAUUUGUUUGCAAACAAAUCAUUUUUUUUAAAAUUUAGUGUCAAAGGUUCGAACAGUUGUCGCAGUCAUUUUACAGCAUUGGAGAAUGAAAAAUUCUAAUUGCACGUCCCAAAAGAAGGACGUAGUCACGUAGAUCUUAUACUCUAUUUUAGAUAAAAAGAGAUAAAGAUAGAUAUCCAACUUUGUAUCCGUAAGUGGAUAAGAAAUUGAAGCACUAUCUCUCUAAAAGAUGGAAAUAAUUACUUUUAGAGACCGCAAAAAAAGAGGGCUUUUCAUACACUGUAACACAAGGCUUUCCUUAAUUAAUCAUAUAAGUUGCAAUGUUCUAAGUUGAACUUAGACCUAGUUCGCUAGGUUAUGACUAAAAGUAUUAUUUUUAUACUAGAAAAAAUUUAAAAAAAUCAAAAGCAUUUUUAAUUUUUUUCCCUUCUUUUAUAUUAUAAUAUUGUGAUUGCAACUGACACCAUAAAAAUAUAUAGCUACAUACUUCUAUGAUGGCGGUUCAACCUAUUAUUGAUCAUAUCCAAUGCCAACUACUCAUUUAUUAGUACCGACCAAUCUUAUUUCAUAAUGUAAUGAUCCCGUACAGUAAACAACUGUUUUUAAUUUUAUAGGACGAAAUAUUUUGGUGAGAAUCACAUGAAUUAAAUGAUAAUUAAUGGAAAAAUACAAUGGUCAAGCAUGCUGCAAUACCUAGGGCAAGAACCGAGGAAAGUGAAGGCCACAGAAGAAACCAUUACUCUGUAUCGACAUUCUCUGGAGAAUAUUUGCUGGGAACCAUGGUUUGUACAACCUGAAAACAACCACAUAAAUACAUGCGAAUAGAAACACCGAUCGGCGAUCGCUCUAUAGCGAGAGAAAUACAUACGGUAAUGGUGGAGGAUAUCGUCAUCCGACAUAUUGACAUUAUUGUAAGCUUACGUAUAAUUGCGUAGAGAAUUGUCUUACAUCAGAUACAGACAUGAGGAGGAAUCAACUUCCCUGGAUUCAUGAUAUUGUUCGGAUCCAGUGUGGUCUUUAUUCUUUUCAUGGUCCUCAAUGCGCCCAUACCAAGCUCUUCUUCGAGGUACUGCAAGAGAGAGAGAGAGAGAGAGAGAGAGAGAUCUUAUCAAUGAUGGAGAUAUAAUGCAAUGUUUGCAGAAUACAAGGAAAAUCAGAAAACUAUAAAUACUUGGGAGAUCAAAGGGUCUGUUUGGAACCCAUGCUGUAUACUUUUUUUUUUGGGUUAAUUGCAUAUAGCUCUCUGUAAACAUAUCGAAUACCAAGUAUAUCUCUACAAAGUUCAGCUUUUCAUAUUUAUCCCUAUAAAAGCCCUAACGUUUUCAAAUAUACCCCCCCUGUUAGAUUCUGUUAGAAAAAUAUAGUUAACCAAAGGUAAAAUACUUAACUCUGGUUAGUGAAUAAGAUAAAUUGACCUUUUUUGCCCCUCUUAUAUUAUUUGUGAUGGUAAAAAAGAAGAAGAUGACCGUUGGAGAUUUUUGGGAGGACAUAUUUGCAUAAUUUUAACAGUUUGGGCUUUUGGAGGAAACUAUUUGUGAUGGCAAAAAUAUCAUUUUACUUAUCUUUUGUUUAAAAAUAACUAGUGCUCUAACGAUAACAAACCAAAGGGAAAAAUAUGAAUAUAACUGGACUUUUGCAGGAAUAAAUAUGAAAAGUUGAACUUUGCAGGGAUAUAUUUGCUAUUCGAUAUGUUUACAGGGAGCUGUAUGAAAUUAACCAUUUUUUGUUUUAAAUAGUCCGUUACAAGGUCCUUAAUCAUGCUUCUUAAGGAAAAAUUACCAUAUUCCAGAAAAAUGACCGCAAAGUAAUAAUUAUAUUCGAAGAAAAAUAAUUUAGAAGUGGUAUAUGUUAUGCGAUUGUAAACAUUUUCCGUGGAACGAUCAAACAAUCACCACAGUUGAACAAAACAGAAAUACCAUCGAGCAUGAUAUCUGCAUCCAAUUACAGGCUCUUAAGAUGAUUCCAUAGAUGACUCCCAUAGAGUGAGUAACAUUAUCUUCUAGUUUACUGCAUCAGGUAAGUUGAACCUAUAACUUAAACAGCAUUGUGGUGUAGCUACUGCCCUACGAAAUAAUGUUUAUAGAGAAAAAAAGGAGAAAAUCUUGAACAUGCGUCACAUUACUAAAUAUUUUCUUAUGCAGUUUUCUUGUAUCUAGAGACUUAUUCACUUGUCUAGCUGGCAAUCCAAUUUUCAAAAGGUUUUUAUGGCAAAUACUAUUUUUAGCUUAUGAUGCUCCUAGCCAAAAUAAGGUCUAGGUAAAUAAGGUCUAGGUAAUUGUAUUAUCAACAGCAGAAUUUUGAGUAGGAAGCUCUAACCUUCAUUUUACCAGUACCAACAGCAUGCUCGCCCGUACAUGUUCCUAAAAAGAAACGCAUUACUCAAAUUGAAGGCAAGCAAAAUGUGUAAGACCAAAUUCAGAAAUAUACUGUCUUCCUAUUAUAGCCAUUAUAUAAGAGAUUAAAAUGCCGAAAACCUCUUGAAAAAUUGCAUUUUGUGUUUUAUCCCCCUUAAGUUAAAAAAACUACACUAAUUCCCUCAAUGUUUGGAGUAUUAGCAAGUAAACCCCUUCAGUCAAAUUUUUCAUCUAAAAACAGUUGGGAGAAUUACUAUUUAAAAUACCCAAUGUACUUAUUUACGAUAUUUGUAACAGUUUCUGGAUGGAAAAUGUGAUUAAAAGAGGUUGAGUGGCAAUCAUCUAAACAUUGAGGCACUAAAGAAAGGUUCUUACCUGUCAGAGGGUAAAGUUCAAGUCGUAAAUUUUCAAGAGGUUUUAUGCAUCUUGGCCUAUUUAAGAUGUGACAACUCACAAUAUGUCGAGCAAAUAAGUGAAAGCCCAUGAGAUAAGGUUUUGGAUAAGAAAUAAUCUUUAGUAAUGACUUUGGAGAGUGCAAGCAGUCACAAUAUCAUACAUAUAGUAAACUACAGUUCAUAACACAAAAAUUAGCUUGAUUCCAUAAGCUGCCUCUCUCAAAGCCAGGUAACAUGUGCCAGUACAGAUAUAAACUUGAGAUAUGUUAAGAACAUCUACAACAUCUGUCUACACUGGUCCUUUCUAAUGCCUAAAAAUCAAAAACAUGAUAAAUUAACUCGAAAUUGCCUGGGAAAUGAAUUGGCAAUGGACCUAUUCCAAUUACCAUUAUAAUAUAUGAUAUUACCUUCCAUUGAUAAGGCAGUAUGGACCAUGAAAUGGUUUAGCCGCUCUGCUUCUCGUUUUUGUUCUUCUUGGUUUGGAUCAAAGAGGAUAAAUGUGUGGAAGUUCCCAUCACCAGCAUGUGCGAUGAUAGUGCUGCAAGCAUAAAUUCAUUAAAAGAAAAUUAGAUUUUUCGAGGUUAGUUACUAUUUACAAGUGAAUAUAGCACAAAUUGUUUAAGAACUCACCAUGUACAUAAGUUUGGCAAGUUCAAACUUAAGUCAUUUACAAUACAUAGUCAAACCAACAUACCAUGUUAAUGGUGAUGCAGCAAGCUGUUGCUUCGACUUUGAUAUGCAUUCUGCAAGCCUUGAUAAGGGAACACACACAUCCUACAAAAAGGGAACUUAAAAAGAUAACGUUGUGUAGUGAAUCAUCUGGCAAUAAGGGCAUCCGUGGAACCUAGUACAUCUUAACCUAUAUACUCAAGAGUCAGAAAGUUGGUUUGUGAUAUGUAUGCAAUCCUUAUUUUCAAGAAAAUAAAUCAUCUCAUACAAUACUCUCUUGAAAAAUAAUGAAAAUAUGUUUCAAUGACCCAAAGAAACCCAUUUAACACAAGUCAUCACAGUAUAAUUUAUUCCAAUAUCCAAAGAGGCCAUAUAACAUUUCUCCUAGUUUUCUUCAUAGAGCCAGUUAGGUAUUAGCCACGUAUGUCCAGAGCUUUUUCAUUCAAACUAAAAUUUCCCAAAUAUAAACACUUAUGAAACAUCAAGAAACAAACCGUUAUCAUAGCUGCACAGUCAGGAGCCAUUGCAAAACAAGCCCAAAGUGCCUCUUUCCUUAUCUGCAUAGGAAAAUGUCUGCACUAGAUAUAUUUAGCUGCUGGGGAGGAAUAAAAUACCACUACUCUAAGAGUUGAGAUUUUGACAAGUGAAAAGGUAUUGGAAAAGGUAUGUUUCAAAUAUUUACGAGAAAAUAAUUUUGAUCCUAAACAAGUAAUCUGUCAGCAUAAAACCUCACGACAUUAACACCUAAUGUAUUGAAAUCCGAAAAUUCAUCACAUACUUAAGUGCUGUACUGGCAUCUAGCACAACAUGUGGAGAUUUCUACUGCCAAACAAUUUCAUAAUGUAGUAAAUAUUAGAAUCAAGAAGAAUAAAAGCUUUCAAUCAUCUAAAGAUAGCUCCCGAGUUCCUGAGGAAUGAACUAGGUCUGUAAUCAUCCUAUUGAGCACUUAAGGGUUUUCUACACAUUAUCAGUUGGUAUCUUUGAUUCGUGGAGUUGUAGCCCAUUAAAAGUAGAAUGUUUUUUAUUAAUAGGCUUAAAAAAUUAUAAUUAUAAAAAUAGUUUGGCAAAAAUUUUAUUUACAAUACUAGGCAUAUGCAGUGAAUGAAUACCACUUUCUAAAUGCGGCAAAUCAUUCACCGCUUUCUUCAAAAUAUUAAAAUUAUUUUAGAGUUUAACACUAUACAUUUUUCGGAGUUUGGAUAUGCAAAACAUAUAAAUUACAUAAAAGCGGUAAAUCAUUUACCGCUUUUAGAAAGUCAUUCACCGCUUUCUAAUAGGCCUAGUUUUAUAAAUAAAAGUUUUGGAUGUCUAUUUUAAUAAUUAAAAAGUUUAGUAGGCUUAGUAGCCCAAAAAGCCUUUAAAAGUACCUAGCUAAUGCUUCUCAGUUUGUCACUUUGUUCACUAGUGACAUCUGCAUUUAAUAUUAUCAUAACAAGGGAUGUUUCUACCCAAUCUCUUCCCCCUUUCCCUCCCAAAUAGGAUGCCAAAUAUUAAUAAAAUUGUUGGAAUUAAACUAUUGAACUUAUAUUACUUAGCAGAACAUAGUACAAUAAGAUUAACUCAAGUCACAAAGGUACAACCUUAACAUAGCUUAGAUCAUUGGGAAAUAUUUAGCAGCAAUAACUAAGAUAAUAUCAAGGUAACAAUUGGUAACAAUGUAGAGUUUGAGGAGAAAUGUUUAUCUGACCCUCCAUAGUUCCUUUUUAGCAUCAGCAUCUUCGACAAAGACAAAAUCAGAGCCAUUAUGUUCUGAAACGAUCUUCUGAACAAUUAGUGUCUGUUCCCGUGCAUAUGUUUCUGUAAUUUUCAAAAAGAAAAUGGAAUGUGAGUGAAUGACAACUGUUUUAAAUUACCAAAAAACUAAUAAUAGUGAAUGAACAGCCACAAUAUGUAAGUUACAUCUAGUUGACGGGAAAGAACACAGAUAAAAUAAUAAAAGAUACAGUGGCCUCAGAGCUAUAGCAAGACUAUCACUACAUAGACUUCAAUAGCAGGAAAGGAUCUCUGUAACCAACUCCACAUAUUUAUUCAUCGCACCACUACUGUUUUCAGAAGAUACUGUUGGUCUACAGCAUACAUUUUGCCAAUAGUAGCUAAAGCAGGCGACAUGCAAUUUAAAUGCAAUAUAACAUAUAGAAAUGACAAAGGUGCCACCUGGAAGUCUUUAUGUGAUAACUACAGUAGGAAUAUCUUACUGGUAUCUGUAUUAAAUGGUUAAGAAGAAGUGAAGUUCGGAUUGGCUAAUAGACAGAAGAGUCCUGAUAUAGUUACUAUUCAAAUAUCUUGCUAUGGAUAUAAGAACGAAGAUAUCCUACUUUAUUUAGUAGGAUUUGAGAUAAUGCUAUCUUAUAAGCAAAACGAGUCAGAAUUUAUAGAAGGACCUUGUAUAAUUACUUGAAAAAUUUUGGUGAUGGCAGUCCUUUAUGCAACUUGAAAGGGAGGGAAGCAAAAAAAAAAAAAAACAAAAAAACAAAAAAGAGGGAGAGGGAGAGAGACCUCCAUCCCUUCGGGAUUUCCAUACUAAUUGAUUCUAUUUCAUCACAUGAAGCUGGUACAAAUAUAAUUUUUUGCAUUCAGUGAGGCCAUAAAAAGCAUAUUUUAGAAACAAAUAUUAACCAAACUAACUACUGCAGCUUACCAGUCCCUGUGAAUUCGAACAUCAAUGUAGGACGUUCAGGAAAAGUUUGCCCAUUUGCCACAUUAAUUGCCUUUACUUGGACCUCAUCCAAGAGCUCCGCUCUUGAGACCUAAAAAAGAACAUGGAUCAAUCAAUGAGAUUAUGUCUCAUUUUAGAAACAAGGUCAGACAUUCUCUAUAUGGAGACUGAUACCCAUAAUCAGAAAAUGGUACUUGGCAACUACUCCAGUAUAUCAAAGUUAUGUGAUGAACUAAAAGAUUGCUAACACAGGUAUGAAAAUAUACCACAUACACACAAAUAUAACAACCAAUCCUGUAGGUAUCUCACAAAAAGAUAAGCUAUGUUGUUUAUCCUUGUCUGGGCAUAUUUCUGAUAUAGUUAAAUGCUCAAUAAUCACUAACAGUUAUAUUCUCAAAUAUCUCUAGGGGUGGAAGUGUCUGUAUGCAUGUAUCAUAAUGUACUAACGAAAACAACAGUAUUUUUGACAUAUCCUUCCCAUUCAUCUUUACAAUUACUCGAACUUCUAAGCCCUUUUUCACAAACUUGACAAAAGUUAUCCAUCAGACGUAUAAUAUAGAAACAAUAAUUUAUUGUUUAUAGUAGUAUUAAAAGACCAGUGAUCACCGAUAUGUAGUUUGUUACAACAAUAUAGCAUGUUUGCACCUACUUCCAGAUAAACUAUGCAUCAUUUGACAAGAAUAACAGUACCUUUUAGAGCCAUAUAUACUCAGAAACUAGGAAGUAAGAAAAUACAAAGAUAAUUUCUGCACAAAUAGAAUUACACAGCAAAUUAAGGGAUAACACAGGAGAUUUUAUUGUUCAUCACCCACCUGUAUGCCAGAAUGCAUUGUUGCAAUGGCCACAUCAGCAGCAUCCUUGAUUGUUGGAAAAUUGCACAUAGCAACCUGAAUUAAGAGAGACGACUAGGAUGAUCAGUCAAGAAAGAAAAAAAAACAAAGACACUAGUAGAAAUCAUUAAUAAGACAAAAAUAGAAUGAUUAAUAACUAAAAGUAAAAGUGGUGCAGCAACAAGAAGUGGAUAUUUUUGAAGUUAAACAGCCAUAAACAAUAUGUUAGCAAAUAGAUGACUCAAGCAAAGCAAAAAAAUGACAUAAAUUUAAAUUACAAACCAAACAUCUGUGCAAACAAUUAGAAAACUUUACCAGCCAAAAAGUUGAAAACUAAUGUAUAUUUAGGACUUCUAGAGUCUGUUUGGCCCUGUUAUAAGGUUUAAUGCUGUUUGAUGAAGCGGUUUUUUAGUGUCACCACAAGAAGCACAAAAUUGAAGGCCGGCAAUCAGCAUCUUUUUGCAGCAGAACUAAAAAGCUCCAUAUAGGAGCUACUUUUGGGGUUCAUAAUUUUAUUUGUACUUUUGCUGCAUCAUACUGCAUUAUGGUUGAUAGGCUAAAGUAUCAUGUUACAUGUUGUGCAAACACCACAUUAUUGCAUAACAAUAAAUAAUGCAAGGGAUUAACUGUUAUACAUGCAUGAAAGGGAAGAGUGUACCGCUGAAUGUUUAGGUAUCUUUUGUAGGCGUAAAGUCACUUCAGUAAUCACACCCAAAGUCCCUUCACUUCCGAUAACCAGCCGUGUCAAAUCAUAUCUGCCAUAUAAAAACAUAUAAAUAAUACAUAGAUACAAAUAUACACACAUUCAUCUAUGCAAUAUGACCAGCCUACUUGCAAGAGGAUUUCUCCCUAAAUCUUUCCUUCAUAGUAGUCAAUUCUUUGAGCAUUUGAAUGGCGAAAGAGCAUUUGAAUGAUCUAGGGUAUUUGGAAAUACUAUAAACCAAAACUUAUAUUUGUUUGAUGCUCUUUUACCUAUGCAUCAAGGAUAUUCUAUUCACUAUGCCAAAAAAAGCAAGAAAAGGAAAAAGAAAAACAGAUGUUCUGUUGCUAUAUCAAACAGACAAAUAUUUACAAGCUCAUCCAAACGAUCAGGGGAAAUUAGCUUUAUACAGAAGAAAUGAAUAAUGCCAAGUAAUAAUGUAGGAAUAUUAUGAUAUAGUUGAAUCGAAGAAUAUUCAAGACAAAAGGUUAUGGCCAAAGCUAUGAAUAAAUAACAACUCAGCAGUAUCCAGCACUUUAUUAUGGAACAAAUAAUUUGCAGAAUAGGAGAAAAGCUCUCUUAUUACCCGGCAGCACUCUUUCGAGCCCGUGAAGCAGUCUUCAUAAUAUCACCAUUUGCCAGAACAACCUGCAAGAUAGUGCUUAUCUAUAUGCAAAGAGGAAAUACAAUACAUAUAUAUUUGUAAAAGAUUAUCUAGCUUACUUGCAAUCUGAAUUUUAUAUAUAUAUAUAUAUAGAGUCCGGCUACUAUACUCUUACGAGUACGAUCGCCUUCAUACUCAUAAGUUGUUUUCGAUGAUAGAGCUUCCGAAUCGACGAUCCAUACUGUUAAACAUUAUCUAGAGCAUUUAAAACUUCAAAAAAUCAAAUUUUAUAAUUUUUCGGUAUCAUUUACCUUACGAUCAAAAGCUCACAAAAUUGACAAUUUUUAACGGCCGGUAUGAGAUAUUUGCUAGUUUAACGGUGAAAAAAAAUCGGAAUAGGUUGAAUUUUUGAUAGAAAAUUCUAUUCACUACCUAAAUAAAGAUCAAUAACUCCGAUCUUAAAUUGAAGGAUCCAAUCAUCCAUUUUUAGGAUGUCGUUCGAUUUUAACCGUUCAUUUUAUUCCCGCUUGAUGAACUUUAUAA